UUUUUUUUAAAAAAAACUAUCAUCCAACCAAAAUUUUAAGUUAAAAGAGAUUUCUUUUAUAAUUAUUUUAGUAUGUUUUAAGAGAAUAUUUUAAAAUUUUGAGAUUUGGUUGAAUUUUAUGUUAAAGUAUAAAUGAAUAAAUCAAACUCAUAAUUUUACUAAAAUUUUAAUUUUGAUAAAUAUUUAUGAAAAAAUUAUCAAGUUCAAAAUUUAAAUUUAAGUUAGUAAAUAAAUAUUUUUUCACUUUCAAAUAAAUAAAUAUAAACAUGUGUAUUAUAUUUAUAUAAGUACCAUUUUUAUAUUUAUCUAUUAUGAUUUAUGAAUUUGAUUCACCCCUUCAACCAAUAUAAAUAUCAACAUAUCAAUAUAAAUUUAAACAAUGAUGAAAUUAAAUUUAAGUUUCCAUUUUAAAUGAUAAAAAUUUAGUCUAAAAAUUAGAUUACUUAAUUGAAGUAUUCUUUUAACUUUUUUAAGUUAAGACAUUUACAAAACUUUUAAAUGGUCUAGUGACAUUUUUAAAACAAAACUUCAAGGGUUUUAUUUUAUCCAAACUCACGAUAGUAUUUAAUACUCCUCUCAAACGUCAUUUUUUUUACCCAAACCUAUAUACAUCUUUUUUUUUUAUAAUUUAGGCAUGUCUAUCAGCUGAGAAUUUGUUAUAUAUAUAUAUUUCGGAUAUUUUUUUUUGGUUGCCAACAAAUGUGCUAAUAUUUAAAUUGAAGAAUAUGUGUUCUAAUAUUGAAAUUUAAACAUUUAAACUAUAGUAGAGUUUUCUUAAGGAUACUCAAAAUUUCUUUUAAAUGGGAAUUUAUUGGAGAAUUUGCACCUAAAUCACCACAAAAUUAAAUGAAAGAUUUUGUGGGAACGAAUAUGAAAUAGAAAGGAAGGGAUGAUGACAAAGAUGUCAUUUCGACCUACCCUGCCAUGAACAAAAGUUGUAUAUGAGUUAGAGUUAAUUCUUUAUAGAAGAUAUGAAUUUAAAUGUAAUGUUCUAUUUAAAUAUGUAAUUGAGAAACAAUUAAACUACACAUUAAGAAACAAUUCAUUUCUUCUUCUGUGCCAUCUACAAGACAAAAAUAAUAAUAUCAAGAAACCAAACACGACCUCAGACAACACGACUUAAAAAGGGAAGAACCUCAGACGAACCCUAAACCAUCAAACCUAACCACACAACAAAUCACUAGGGGUGGAAGUUAGUAUUGUGGACAGAGAGGUUAUGCUCAUGAUAAAGAUGAAAAAUGAUAGCAUGACAGUUAAGCCACACGAGUCAAUAAAGUAAUAAACCUAGGAGUAUUUCAAGUGUCGAAUUCCUCAAAGACUAUAUCCAAUUUAGAUUCUCAGAGGCAAUGCAAACAAUGUAAUCAAUAGUAACUAAAUGUGAGAUUAGGUUGACUGUUGAUUAAAACAGUAAACAAGAAGUGGUAACGAGUGUCCUAAGAGACAACAUUGAUAACUCCCUCGUCACAAAGUUCCUUUGGAUAUUUGUUCACUUAUUGUUGCUAAUCAACAGUCAGCAACUUUCAUUCUUUAUAUCAACACUAAUUCUAGAGUCAAAGUUUUCCAUUUGGUUUUCAAAAUAGAAAUAUUUCUGAGGCAAAUCAAGAGGUUCUAUCAUUCCAACACCAAAUCCAAAACAAAGUAGCAAUUAAGUUAAAAAUCUUUCUCCAAGAAGAUGAGCAUAUAUAGAAACGAGAUUAAGAAUUAGUAUUUCAAAAUCCGUUGUAGGUUACCUAAAAUGGAGAAGAAAGAAAAAUUUAAGGACUACCAACUUGACCAUACAAAGUAAAAAGGGCAUAAUCAACCUAAAGAUAGAUCUGAACUCAAUUCCUGUAAGAUUCCAUUCACCAAGAAGAAGAUGAAGGUGAUGGUGGUUUUACUCUGUUGCUGGGCAGCUUUGGUGGCUGUUGAGGAAGACUGUCAAGUAUAAGGACCCUAUACAGCCACUUAACAUCCGGAUCAAGGACCUGAUGGAAUGAAUGACUCUAGCAGAUAAGGUUGGGCAGAUGGCACAGUUGGAUUCUUCGGCCACCACACCGGAAAUCAUAAGAGAUUACUCCAUUGGCAGUGUGCAACGGAGGCAGUACCCCAUCUCUACAGGCUACUGCACAGGAGUGGAUUGACAUGGUGAAUUCCUUCCAGCAGGCCACAUUAUCAAGUAGGCUUGGAAUUCCAAUAAUGUAUGGUAUUGAUGCCGUCCAUGGUCACAAUGGCGUCUACAAUGCUACCAUCUUCCUCAACAAUGUCGGUCUUGGUGCAACCAGGCGAAAAUAUAUGAGAGGAGGAUCUAAACUUUGUUUUCACAAACUCCCAAUGCCAUUUGGAGAUAUUGGUGGUUAAAUAGUUUUCUCAUGUGACAGGGAACCUGAACUUUUAAGAAGGAUUGGUGCUGCUACUGCUAAAGAAGUUAGAUGAACUGGGAUAGAUUAUGUCUUUGCUCCAUGCAUAGCAGUAUGUUUUCUUAAAUUCAUUUCCCUUUAUUUAUAUAAACUUGUCUAGUUCAAAUAGAACGAUGAGCAUUUUCAUUUCAGGUCUGUAGAGAUACGAGAUGGGGAAGGUGUUAUGAAAGCUACAGUGAAGAUCCUGACAUUGUCAAAGAAAUGACAGAUAUCAUAGCUGGGUUGCAAGGACAAACCCCAUCUAGUUCUUCAAAAGUUAUUCCUUAUGUUGUUGGAAGGCAAGUUUUCAACCACUAAAGAUUUGGACAGAUUUUCCAUUCUACAAAACCUACUCAAAAAACCUCUUGGCCUUGCAACAGAGAAAAGGUUGCAGCUUGUGCAAAGCAUUUCUAUUUUGUAGGCGAUGGCAGGACAACAUGCGGUAUCAAUUAGAACACAGUUAUCAGCAAGCAUGGAUUGUUACGCAUUCACACGCCAGGAUACUAUCACUCUACAAUCAAGGGUGUCUCUACAAUAAUGGUUUCCUACUGAAGUUGGAACUGUGAGAAUAUGCAUUCAAACCAUGAACUCGUCACUGAUUUGCUUAAGAACAGACUAAACUUCAGGGUAUGUAUUUGCACUAGAUCCUCAUGAAUAAUAAGCCUAUACAAUGACAAUCCCCUAAAUUUGAACACACGUAACUAUUGCAGGGUUUUGUAAUCUCCGAUCAAGAAGGUAUUGAUAAGAUCACAGACCCAGCUCAUUCAAAUUACACAUUCUCAAUUCUCUCUGGAGUUUAAGCUGGAAUAGACAUGGUAAGAUAAUCAACAUAAGCAAUCCAAUCAACAUAGCAUCUAUACAUCUUAUAAAACUAGUUUUAUUGUCGUGAUUAAGAUUAUGGUUCCUGCAAAUUACACUGAGUUCAUCGAUGGCCUACCUACCUUAUCGUUAAGAACGUUAUUCUGAUGUCCUGAAUCAACGACGACGCCGUGAGAAGGAUUUUGAGAGUCAAGUUUAUGAUGGGCCUGUUUGAGAAUCCAUUGGCGGGUGACAGAUUUGUAAAUGAGCUUGGAAGCCAGGUUAGUUGGUCUGAAAAGACAAGGAAAUGUACUUUAAAAUUGAAAUAUUAUACCAAUUCAAAUGAACACUGAACAGGGACACAGAUUUGGCAAGAGAAGCAGUGAGGAAAUCACUUGUUCUAUUGAAGAAUUGCGAAAAUGCUGAUGAAACAGUUCUUCCUCUGUCAAAGAAAGCACCAUAGAUCUUAGUAGCCGGAACUCACGCCAACAAUCUGCGGCGGCCGGACAAUCACCUGGCAAGGACUCAGCGGACAAAAAUCUAACAACCGGAACCACCAUUCUCGAGGCAGUGAAGAAAACCGUUGAUCCAAACACGGAGGUCAUCUACAACAUAAAUCCAACAACCGAUUACUUCAAGGCGAACAACUUCUCGCACGUCAUUGUGGCUGUAGGAGAAACGCCGCACGCCGAGCCCAAAGGCGACAACCUAAACCUAACUAUCCCCGAAGGAGGCUCGGACACGAUCCAGAAGGUGUGCAUCGUUGUCAUCGUCUCCGGCCGGCCUCUGACGAGGCAGCAAUACACGUCACAAUUGGACGCGCUGGAGGCGGCGUGGCUGCCGGGAACGGAAGGGGAAGGCGUGACGGACGUGCUGUUGGGAGAAUAUGGGUUCACCGAAAAGCUGGAGAGGACGAGGUUCAAGACUCAAGAAAAAGAUGGUUAGGAAUUUUGUUUAUAAAUAAUUAGGGUUUCUUUGGAAAUUAAAUAAAUAACUAUUUUUUUUUUUUUUUAUGGAAAGAUGAUAUAAUGUAUUGCAAAAUUGUAUGAAAUAAAAUUAAGUAUAAGAGGUAGAGUUCACCUACCAAACCAAACAACUAUAACCACAACUCGUUUUGUUUCAUUUCUGAUCGAGAAGAAACCAUUAAAAUCAAAAUCAAUUUUCUAUGAUAGUAUCUAUUUCAUUUGUUAAGAUCAUUGUCAUGUUUAAUGAUCAUUGUAAAGCCUUUGAGAUUGUCGUUUCUCCAAUUUAGAUUGAAAAAAUUGUGCGAAUAAAGGUUCAAGUUUUGGUUGAUUUGCUUCAUUUUGGUUAACAACAAAAGUAACUCAUCGUUUAUGGCUUAACUGUUUAUACAAAUUUGGAUAUUUGACAAUUUGCAUUGAAGACUACCUUUCAAGGGCGGAUUUUGCCAUUUUCCAUUUUUUACUUUGUCCUUCAGUUUUAUCUUUGUUGCAUUGAAAAAGUAAUAUUUUUGUAGACUUGUAAUAGAAUGAAUCUAACCAACGUUUGAAAUAGAUAGAUAAUAAAAUUUUAUGUUAAUUUCGAUAAACGUCGAACAUUUUACACUUUUUAAACAAGUUAACAUUUUUAUUGUUUUUUUAUAUUCAAUUUAGCAACAUUUUUUUUUUCACGUUUCAUUGAUUUUUUUUUCUGUAAUUAAAAUGUCGCUCUAUCUUGCCUCGUGAAAAUUUAGAAAAUGCCAAUGAAAAUAUCUACAUAUAAACAAAUACAUAUCACCACAAAUUUAACCAAAUGAUUUUUUCUUUCAUUUUUUUAUCAACCAUCCAUGCAAAACGUCUUUUUAAAUUUGUUCCCUCCGAAUUAAAACAAUCUAAGUUAAAAAACACUAUAUAGCUAAGAACAUCUUGCAUUAUAAGGUCGAUAUAAAAGUUUCACAACAAAAAGAAAAAAUACUUCUUUUCUGACCCAUUUCUAAAAACUUUCUCUUAGAUACGUAAAGGAGAGGAUAUGAACAAAAGUCAUUACUUUACGUUCAACUAGCACUAUAAAAACCUAUUUACCAAUAGAAGUGGUAGAAUGAUUCUGAACACUUUAGCUUGGACUACUAGCACGUUUUUUUUUUCUUAUCUUUUAUUCACUCGUGAUUUUGUUACAACAAGGAAGUUUGCCCCUUUGUUUGUGGGUCACGCCUUAUCACAAGCACUAAAAGUAGAAAUAUGAAAAAACAUAAAGAUAAGAUAAGAUUGAAAUGUUAUGUAUCAAAAGCAUCGACGAAAGGUGAAUAUUUAUACCAAAAGUUUUACAACACAAAACUAUGGUUAAAAUUUUCCUCUCUCCUAUACAUAAAUUACACGUUUUAACAUUAUAUUCUUUAAACUAUUAGGAAAAACUCAAAAUUUAAUAUUUUAAAAAAUUACUCACUUCUAAAAAAUAUUAAAUAUUAAAAUGCAAUAAGAAAUGGUUAGUUUAGUUUAGUUGAAAUUAUUUGUAGUACAACUUUUGUUUUCAAUUAACUUCAUCUAUUAAUUAGUAUUUAAAUCUAUUAGGUUGAUUUCCAUUAGUUAAUAUUUUGUGUGGUUUCUUGCUUGGAUUUUAAAAAUAAAUUAUUACAUAGAUUAAUUUUUUUUUCUUACAUUAAUUAUAUGUCAAAUUGCCAUAGUAUUAAUUGAAGAUGGAGUGGGAAAAGGUUAAUAAAGUCAACUUGACAUAUCCACCCUCUUUAUCAUAAUUUCUUUAAUAAAAUUCUAAUAUUUACUGAUAGAAACCAUUUGAUUGAAGAAAAGAAACUAAAUUAAAUAUUCUUAAAAACUAGUUUAAAAAUUAUUUUAGUCAAUUAAUUACCUUAAAAAACAAAUAAAAAAUACUUCGAUUUAUAAGUGUAAGAAUAACUCAACAAUCGAACUACUCAACUCAUAUUAUAAAAGUUAGGUUGAGCUGAGUUUAAAAUUUUGAUUUUUUUCAAAUUGGAUUGGGUAUCGGAUUGUAUAUAUAUUUAUAUUAUAUAAUUUUAAAUAUUAAUUUAAAAAAUGUUGGUUUAUACUUAAGAUGAUAAUCGAAAAACCCAACCGAUUAGAAACGGGAUGAAAAGGGGAUCUAAUGAAUUACCAAACACAUUGAGUGGGUAAAAUUGGUUGAAGAGUUGGUAUUUUGAAUUCCUUUGAUAAAACAAUACAUAGAUUGACAUCUUCCUUUUGACCCCUUUAAUGAGCAAUAAAUUAUUGCACUAUUUAUUCAUAAUUUAAAUCCCUACAUUCCAAUUAACUUUAUUUUAAAAAAAAACCCACUAGCUCUUGGAUUUUGCCUACCUUUCAUCAAUGGAAAUAGAUGAUAAGGGCAGAUUUGUGGAAAAACAAUGACACCAUUUUUGAAAGACAAACAACAUGUGAUAUGUGGAGUGGAGUGUACUUUAUGUAAAAAUAAAGCCUUUUGGAGAGAUGCUUUUCAUAUUUUCCUAUUUCAAAUAAACUAAUGUUUACUAUUCAAUUAGCAUUAAAUUAAUUAUAAAUCUCAACUUGUUUGAAGCUGUAGACAUGAAGGAUUUUGUUUUUUCAUGUGCAACAAUGAAGGUUAUGAGGCCAGCUGAAUUCAAUUUGUUCUUUAGAGAAAACUCAAUGUCCGACAAAUGUUUCUAUGUUAUUAAUAGAAGAUAUAGAUCGAUAGAGUUAAUUGGAAGUCAACUCGAGUGUUGAGUUCAUUCCUUGUAUAAUUCGGUGGAUGAAGUGAGGAUUUGUUGAUUGAGAUACUUUGAGAUCUUUUUAGAGCGUUGUUGGUCCAUAAAUUCUCUACAAACAUAAUAUCUAAAUACAUAAUUUACAAAAGGAAUUGGUCAACUGGGAGAUUUUGUUAGUGUCAACAUCACACUCUAAAAUUGAAUAUUCUAAUAAAAACAACUAAGUAUGCUGCUAGAGGAAUUUGAAAUUUCUAAAAAUUGGAAGGGUGGAAUUAUUAAAUAUAAAAGUUAGGGUUGAUUAAGAUAUUUGUAAAUAGGUGGUAAUAAUUCAAUAGACCAAAAGAAAAAGGAAGUUGUGCUGUAAAGAGAUAUGGAAGGUGAGAAGCAUGAUACUAUGUCAAAAGCAACAAAUUAAAAUAAUAGUUAUAAUAAUUAUAAAAAAAUUACUUUUCAUAAUUAUAUUUUGAAUCUAGAUUUUAAAUAUUUUAAAUGAAUAUCAGUACAUACAUUUCAUAAUGUGUUGAUUUGAUUCACUAAUUUUUUAUCGUUAUAUUUUAAUUUUGUAUAUUUUUAAUUAUUCAUUGUAUGUCUCUGAUAUUGAAAUGAGUGAUCUCUCAAUUUUUACUUUUGUAAAUUAGUUUUAAAAAAAAGUAAAUGUGAACAUUUCUUCAAAACAUAUAUAUAAAAAAACUAAGAUAACAAAAACAAAAAAGUGCGAAAAAUAACAUUAUUAAAUUCAAUAAUCAAAUAAAAGUUAAACUUAAAAUUCGAAAUUAAAAUGUAAGAAGUAAAUAAAAACUAAAUUACAAAACAAUAUAUAUAUAUAUAUAUAUAUAUAUAUAAUGAAAAGAAAUGUAAAGAAGACGAUAAGUUAGAGAGGAUAGUGGACAAUGAAAAGGCCUUUGCUUUCGUCAAAGAUGGCCGAACAUUGGUUUUCCCAAAUUAAAUUAAUUAAAUCAAAUCCAUUGCGCGUCACUCUUUUUUUCUAUUAAAUACAUUUUACAAAUCAUCAUUUUUUCUUUAAUAACAUCAGUAAAUAAUGGUUAUUAGUAAUUUCACAAAAAAUAAAAAAUACAAAAUUAUGCCUUUUCUUUUAACCCUUUCAAUUUUUUGUUAUCUUUUAAUGUUUUUUUUUUUAAAAAAAUAAGUUCAUUGUUUUAACCAACAAAGAAUUCAGUCAGUACCCAAACAAAUUGUUUUUAAAAAUUAAUUUUUUAAAAAGAAGAAGAAAACAAACAGAUUAGUGAACGAACUCUUGAUUUGUAGUGAGAAGUGAAGAGUUUGGUGAAUAGCUUGUUUUGAAUAAGAUUGAAGAAUGACAUGAAGAUGAUGGGUCAUACAAAAAUGUGUAACUUUACUUCAUUUUCAUUUUUAGAUUCAUGUUUCUUUCCUAUCCGACUCCAAAUUCAAGUAUAAUUCAAUAAAUAAAAGCAUAAAUUUAUUUAAUUUCAUCUCGUAUUAGAUUUUAAAAUAUAAAACAAAAUGUUUAAUCCUACAAAAGUAUAUCAAAUACACUAUUUAUUAUUGAUAAAAUUUAAAAUUUUACUAUAUUUUAUAAAUAUUUUAAUUUAUUGUUAUAAAUAGAAAAAUGAUUUAAAAUAUUCCUAAAUUAUAACAAAAUUUCAUAACUAUACUAAGGUAAAGUAUUUUAUAUUUUAUUAUAUUUUAAAAUAAUUGAGAUAUUUUAAAGUUGAACUGAUAAGUAUAAAAACAAAAGUAAUAUUAUAAGGAAAUAAAAAUACAAAACCUAAAAAGGAAAACUGACUUCGAACCCUAUGACAUAUUCAUUAAUAUGAUGUGAAGUAUAACUAAAUUUGUUAAUACAAUGUAUAUUUUUUUCAUAUAGUAUUUUUCGUUUUUUCAUUGAAGCAACAUUAUUAUUAUUAUUAUUAUUUGCUAGAGCAAAUGAGCUUUUUUAUAAUUGAUAUAAUUCUGUAAUUCGAUAAAGUGUGCCUUUAUAUAUCGAAAAAAUUUAAUACAUUAUGGAUCUAUUAGAUAUCAAAAUGAAAACUUUCAAACUUAUUAGUAAAAAAAAUGAAAAAAUAAAAUUAAAGACUAAAUAAUACUUUAUGAAAUUUGAAAGUGUGUUGCAAUAAGUGAAUUUUAUAAUUUAAUCAGUUAAGUGUGUUGUGGUAAGGCAGUAGAAAUAAACUUUAUAUUAAAAAAAUGAUGACAUUUUGUUUGUUAAAUAUGCAUGCACAUUCGAAUUUUGUCAUUCGAUAUUUUAGGUUUGUUUUUUACGUUUUUGAAUUUUUUCUUAUUCUUAUUUUUCUACAAUUUUUCUUUUAUAUAUUUUUUGAAAUCAUGAUUUUUGUUUUCAAUCAAUCAUCAAUUGUGUUUUUUUCAAGUGUUAUUUUGUUCAAGAUUGUGUAGCAGUGUUAUUAAAUAGUGUAUCGAAUAUUUGAUAGACAAUCUUAAACAAAAAAAAAAAAAUCAUUGAGAUAGUAAGACAAGAUAAGAUUAAAAUCGUGUACUAAAUAUUUGAUAUAUGAUCGUUUAAAUUUGGGUAUAUGAUCUUGUACGAUCUUAAACCAAAAUUAUUUAAAUUUGGUACGCGAUUAUAUAUCAUUUCUACAUGAUGACGUAUUAGAAUAAGAAUUAUCUACACGAUCAUGCACUAGAAUAAGAAUUAUCCACACAAUUAUGUAUUAGAAUAAGAAUUACACGUGUGUGACCAAAUUAAUGGCUAGUUGAUGAUGACAUUUUUUGCAUUUCUGUUAUCGGGUGGGCUUUUUUCAUUUGAAAUGGUUCACAUACAAAUUUUAUUUUCAUCUUUUCAAAUUUUAUUUUCGUUUAAAUUUUUCAUUACUAAGUGUGUCUUUCUUUUAUUUUUUUUCUAAAUGGUUGAAAAUAUUUUUGGACUUGUUUGUAUUUUUGAAAAAACUGAUUUUAAAAGAAGAAAAAAAAGUAUUUUGAAAGGAAAGGGGGGAGAUAAAAGGUCAAUAAUGGAAGGCGCUGAGGGUGGCUGCCAACGCGAGUUUCCAUAAUAUUCUGCCACCUAAUCAAUCACAAAUGAACACAACAUCACAAAACCAUUCUCCUUGUGCAUUGCACGCACCCACACACCAACUCUCCGAUUCAAAAAGCUACCCAUCGCACGGUGCACAACAAACACUCGCCCCUUUCUUUAGAGUGGGGGGAACAAAUCAGUCCCACAAACUCCGCCACAAACCCAUGCGUUUAAAACUAUAAAUUUAAACCCCCAAAAAGAAAAAAAGAAAAGGCAAUCUAGAAUGAAUCGUAAUUAACGCGGGGGCAAAAAUCCCGAAAAGGAACAAAAAGCCGAAAUUUCAAUUGCUGUAAAUAUUAGAAAUUUCAACGCUCAAUUUUGGAAAUUUUAAUUUAACGAUUGUGACCUUAUGGACACACCCACACACACACACACACCAAUUUAUCAAUUAUCCCCACAAGGCCUUUUCUUUCCUCGUUGCUUCCUCUUUCUAUCUCUUUUACUUUUACUUUUUUACUUUUCACUCCUUUCCUCUCAAUUUAUAUCUGCCUUCUAAUCUCCACCCUUCAUUUCCAUAUCCAUCUUAUCUGUGGCUCCCACCCUUCUUUUGGAUUCUCAAUUUUAACUAUCCAUGCAUUUGUAUUUUGUACUGAAUGUUAAUGGAAUUGAAUAUACCAUGUUCUAUCAUGUGAUUUUUAAUAUUAAUCUGUGAUAAAAUUUAGUUAGCAUUCAUACUAGACACGUCAACAUCCUCUUUUACCUUCCAUGAAAACAAAAUACUUUCUUAAGUCAUGGGUUUAGAUCAUACCUCCAAUUACCUCCACAAUAGUGAUGUCGUUGACUUCAAUAUAUAUUCUUAUGACUUUACUUUCGGCUUCUCCUAAAAUACUUUGUACUAGUGAACGUGGUUGUUGUCUCUUAAAUUAUCUUCUUAUUUAGUUGAUGGGGGACUUUGAUUGCAUUUCUAUCUAACAUUAGCUUUGCAAUUUUGAACUUGUGACGAUCUAGACUUGGUCGUGAAGAUAUUACUAACAUUAGUGAAUUUUCCAAUGUUUAAAAAGUAUAAAGAUUAGAUUGUUACAAAUUAAAAAAUAUAGUGACUAAAUGAUUAUAAAUUAAAAGUUCAAAGACUAAAUCAAUACUUGGGGGACCCAUGAGGAUUUUUUUACCAAAAGCAAAAGAAAAAGAACAUGUUAAAAAGUGAUUUAGAAUUGUAUUUGAAUAUCGUGAUUAAUAUUAUUGUUGGUGUUAUGAUAUAAGUUCAAUAGAAAUUCAACUUCUAACCUAUUUUGUGAAAUGAUAUUUGGGCAUUAGAUUGGGUGUAAACAAAUAUAUUGAAUUGCAAACUUUAUUUUCUUUCCAUUGUUUAAGUUCAACAAUAAAUGGAUGUUUAUUUUUUCUUUAAAAGAAGUUCAUUAGACCAAUGAACUAACCACGAUACUGAAGAAUAAAGGACGGCCAACCAAAAAAGUAAGGAUUUAACGAGCCUUAUACAAUAUCUCUCGAAACAUUAUACCACUUGAACGGUCGUUUUAAUAUACUAAGUUUAAAGUACUUUCGACUAGGAUAAUUUAAAAUCAAAAUCAUAGGCUCCUUUCACAGUGUUGGGAGUUCAUCAUUUUUUUUAUUUUUUUCACUUUGGACAACUAUAACUCUAAUAUUUUGAUAAUUGCAAAAAACAUUGGACUUUAAAGUUUAAACUUUAAACCAUAUCACAAAAAGCAUUGCAAAAUUGAAUUACCACGCUAAGCUUUAAGUGCUUUCGUUUGGGACAAUUUAAAGCCAAAGUCGUAUGUUCAUUUUAAAGUGCUUUUAGUCUAUCACUUCCUUAACUUUUAUAACGUGGGACUACAAUAACUGUAAUAUAUAUUAACUUUAAUGUUACGACUUAAACCUUCAAUUUCUCGUUAAAUAAACGUAGUACCGACGAACGCAUCCAAUUUGGGAAUCACUAACAAACACUUGCUCACUCUUGUAGUCCAAAUCGCCAUAAGAACGACCAUUUCAUAUCUAGGACCUACAACCAGGGGGGACCUUCAUAAAUCUCAAUUCAAAACGUUUUCUUUUUCUUUUGUAUUUAUUUACUUAGUUAAAAUGAGUGGAAUGGAUGUGGAAGUGAGUGCAAAUUAAAAAUAUAAAUUGAAAAUUUUAAGAAAAAUAAUAUGUGUAUAUAUAUAUAUAUAAAGAAAGAUAUAAAGAGUCAUAGUCAUGGUUGGGUGGAAGGAAGGAAGAAGAAGAAGCCGGCUAAGCCUGCUGUCCAUUAAGACUAAGAAAAGUCAGCCCCACCAAAUGAUAAAACCAAAUGUCCAAAAAUUAAUCAAAAUCAAUAUUUUUUUAAUUUUCUUUUUCAAUUCUGAUAUAAAUUUCAAAAGGGGUUAAUUUAUCCUUUCAAACUUUGGAAUCUGCAACUGCCCAUCUGACCCAUCUUUCCAUUUCUCUCCCUUUGCAAUUAUUUUUUGUUUUUCUUCCCCCUUUCUCAAACAGGUAAUAAUCAUUAAUUCAAACAUACAAAGUUUAGAAAUGAAUUUUGUGUGUGUUUUUUUUAAGGAAAAAUAAUUAUUUGUUUUUGUGUUUUGGUUGUAGAAGAAAUGGAGUUUUUGGAAGCUAAAGCUUUGAAAUCAAGUUUCCAUUGGGAAUUAGCCAUGAAAUCUGCUCAACAAGAUGCUUUGGUUGAGGAAGUUUGGUGUUUGAACGGUCCUAAUCUUGUUUCCGGUGAGGAUUUUGAGAUCGAAGAGUUUUUAAACUUCCCUAAUGGCGAUUUAGAACAUGGGUCUUCUUUGAGACUUCAAGAAGAUGACGAUUGUGAAGAGUUUGAGAAGAAUCGGUUCUCUGUUUCGUCUAAUUCGAACCAGUCCGAUGGGUCUCCGGUCGUCGGAGAGGAGGAUUCUAAGUCGCUUCUUGCUGUUGAACUUGCUUUUCCGGUAAAUUUAAUUUCUGGGCUUUUUUUUUUUUAAUGUUUUUGGUUCUAAUUGCUUGAAUCGAAAAUUCAAAAUCAAAAUCCCACUUUUCAGGGCGAUUCUCUGACGGACCUUGAAUGGGUUUCUCAAUUUGUCGAUGAUUCUUCCUCGGAAUUUUCCUGUGCCGCCGUGGCUUUCAACCGCUCCGAACCGGAGAAGAAACUCACCGGAACGGUUAUUUCGUGUUUGCCGACGUUUUUUCCGGUCAGACCGAGGACAAAAAGGUCUAGACAGUCUCGUCAAGCGAAAUCCGCAGGUUCUUCUCUCAAUCAAUCACCGUCGUCGUCCUCCUCCUCGACCUCCUCCGGUGUUUCCUCCGCCGCACCUCGGUUUAUAUUCUCCGACGCCGGCGAGAACGUGGACUUUUUGAACGUAACCGGUGAGCCACCGAAGAAGCAGAGGAAAAAGCCAUCGUCGCCGUCGCCAUCGUCAACGGGUCUUCUACCCACCGGUUCAACUGGUCAAAUUCCGCGGCGGUGCAGCCAUUGUCUGGUUCAAAAGACCCCACAGUGGCGGACCGGUCCAAACGGAGCCAAAACGCUUUGUAACGCUUGUGGUGUCCGGUAUAAAUCCGGUCGGCUCUUCCCGGAAUAUAGACCGGCGUUGAGUCCCACUUUUUGCAGCGGCGUUCACUCAAACAGUCAUCGAAAAGUACUUGAAAUGAGGAAGACGAAGGAAGUUCCACAACCGGCGACCGAGUUGGCCCCAAUGGUCCCGAGUUACUAAACACCAACUGAACCGGGUUCAGUUGAACCGGGCAGUAGAUGAUGAUGAUUAAGAAGGAAAUGACCAAAAGGGCAGAUUUUUGUUGUGACGCUAAAAAGGAAUCCAUUUGUAUUUGUAGGGUUAGGCGAGGAAUUAGAUUUAGGGCAUUUAAUUUUAGUGUAGUAUUUUUGUGAAAUUAAUUUCAUUAAUUUAGGUUUGAUUAGAUAUGCUUAGGUAGGCAAAAGAAGAAGAUUUUUGUAUUUUUGUAUUACUUUAGCUAGAUCACGAAUAUAAAAUACUCUAUUUCUUCUCACGAGAAUUAGUUGGAUCGAUAAAUGUCUAAUACUACAAUAGUUAGUAUAUAACUAUAUUUUAUUUGAUACGUCAUUCAAUGAUUUAUUGCAUGGACUUCACACACUUUCAAUAGUUGUUUAGAUGGCUAACAAUACUACUAUAGUACUAAAAAAUUUCUUUCACUUCAUUUAGUUGUUCUCGAUUUUUUUCUUUUGUUUUGUAAAAACAAUGAAAAAACAAAACAAUGAAAAAAGUGGAAGUGACAUUAUUGAAGCUUUUAAUUUGUUGUUGAGACAUUAUUGAAGGGAUUGUAGAGAGCAAUAAAGGUGAGUGUGGUAUGAGUGGUUGAAAUUAUCUUUACUUUAAGGAGGGACCAAAGUGGUGGUUGAUUCAACAAACAUUAAUGCUCACUUUCUUUGGUAUUGGUCAUUUUGGUAUUCUAACACUUUCAAUAUCUAACUUUGUCCAAUUAAAUUAUUAUCAUCUAAAAAACAUAUUUGUCCAACUCAUUUUACAUACAAAUGCUAAUAUCUUCCUAAUUAUUGCUCACUAUUAAAAAAAAAAAAACUUAUUCUAUAUCAAAUACAUUAUAGCCCAUGUACUUAGAAGUCGUAACAAUUUGAUCUAUAGCAUGUUCCGGAUAACUUAAUGAGCAUAUAGUAUGUCUUAUGAGUAAAGAAAUUUGUAGUUUAAAUCCUUAACCCUUAAUGAUACUCAUAAAAUUAUUUAUUAAUUAAUAACUUAGAUUUUGUAUUUAAAUAAGUGUACCAAUUGACACCCUCCUUCACGUUUCAUUUAGAAGAAUCUUAUGUGAAACUUAUAAAUGAAUAAUUAAACGAUUGAACAUUCAUAAAUAAUCAAUUUAGACUUAAUAUUUCUUUGAAAAUUAUUCAUGCACAUAUUCUAAUAAUCCAUCCAUUUUGGAUAACUGACAUUUGAAAAAGUUUAUACAUUUGAGACUUGAUGCAUAGGUAACUUUUAAAAGUGAUUGUAACCAAAGGUUACAUUGCUUUCUUGACUUAAAUUAUGAUUUUCAUACAAUAUUGGUCAAAUGAAUUUCAGAUAGUUAAGUCGAAGUUUAAAAGUAUAAAUCAAAAGUGUAGAUGACUAUAGAAAUGUAUUUGAAUUGAUGUUAUUAUAGCAUUAUGGCUUUCAACUUAAAUAGUUUCAAUUUGAACCGAUGAUUAUCUAUUAAUUACUUUUAUUUAAACCAUCACUUUCUGUCUUUCUCAAAUUUUAGAGAUUUCAAAAUUUUAAAUUUUCAAAAUUUCAAAAUCAAAGUAGAAUUUAAAAAAGAAUCUGUUUGAACUUGUUGGCAUUUCAUAUGCAUCCCCUCACAACCACAAGUAGUUGAUAUCUUAAUUUCAAUUUCUUUCCCUCGCAAAAUUUAAAAAGAGUUCAGGGACCAACAUGCAAUUUAAAAUUUUCUAUCACAAGGUUUUAUUAAUUGCAGUAAAUACCCCACAUAUUAUCAUAUUUAAUAUCAUAAAGUGAACUCAGAAACUAAUAAAAAUAUUCAUUUUCAAACUCAUCCUGAGAUUCAAAGGCCAAGCUUUGAGUCCUCCCAGCAAAAGCAAUGGCUUUCCAUCAAAACAUAAACAAAAUAUAAAACUUUAAAAUCAUUACUCUAUUCAUUACAGCCAAGUAACGAUGAUGACGACGUGCUCCCUUGAUGUCAUCUCUACACAGUUUAUAAGAAAGAUGAGAAGUUUAUCGAUAUUUCACAUGAUCGGGCCACGUCAGGAUUCUCAACCUACAUACUGUAAUGAUUGGUGUUUAUUCUACAAUCUGUGGAGGUACCACCUCAUUUCGGACGCCUUCGAUAAGGGUAUAAGAUAUCGUCCAAACUCUCUUUUACAUAGUUGCAAACUCUGUUCACAUUCCUUGCCACACCUGAUGCGACAAGAGCUGCAUUUCGUUUAAACCUGGACGUUGCACUCUUUGGGUAUUAGAAUUUUUUGUGACAUUGAUAUUGCUACUAAAUUUGAGGGUAUUUAGCAGUCUAAAGAUGAAAAGAGUUGAAAAGUUCUUGCCUGUUUAGAUACUCGUCUCCAGCCGGGUACGAUGGUUUAUAACUGCGUGGUUGUGGAAAAGCAGGGCUAUCUGCAGAAUACCAAGAUCAAAUUUGAAGAUUAAUAUCUCUGUGCAUGGGUUUAUUGAUGUUGAAAUCGAAGUUUAUAUAAAGAUAGAAGAAUAAAGAAAAAUAAAAAUGAGGAUUCAUGCUACCCAGAAAAAGGAAUUCGUUUUGAAAGCAGAGAGAGAUGAAAGAAUAUACAAUGAUAUAUACCAAAAAAACGUUCCAACAAAAAGGAGUCCGACCGUAACAACACGAAAAAGACCACCUAGAAGAACAAGUCCAAGCUCAUAAUUACAAAAAGGUCACAUCUCGUUACUGAUAUCCACAGUGAGGCACAUCAAACCUAGCUACCUCCCAAACCUCCUCACCCAAUAUCUCCAUUUCUCUACAAAGUCUGUUCUAGUACUCGAAAAUCACCUCCCCUUCGCCCAAUAUCUCCAUUUCUCUACAAAAUCUGUUUCAGUACUCCUCGAAAAUCACCUCCCCAGCCUCCCGCGAAAAAAAAAGUCACAACCAAAAGGAGUUCAACCAUAAAUGAAAAAGACUUUGAUCCAAAAGAACAAGACAAAGCUCAUAAUUACAAAAUGGUCACAUCUAGCUACGAGGCAAUAAACCUAGCCACCUCCCAAACCUCCUCACCUGAUAUCUCAGUUUCUCUACAAAUUCUAAAAUCUCUCCAUACAAAUAUCCCACAGAAAAGCGAAAAACUAUCUACCACAAAAUUUUGGGCUACACCCUAAUGGGGAGGAUAUUAGCACUGCUGGAAAACUGAGAGAUAUAGUAGUCAAACAAAAUUAUAUGGUAACUUGUAGUACCUUCAGUUUUAUUAUGAAUAUGAGCUUGAGAGUUUUCCGCUGGUCUUUUGUCCAACAAUACCUAACAAGCAUAUGUUUAUAGUCAAGAUAUAAAAUUAUAGAAGAAUAUUCUUUAGGUGACAGAAAUUUCAAUUCUCACAUUUGAAAUUUCAAUUCACAUUUAUAUGAUUAAGAACUCAGCUAAGACAGCACUUUAACGUUACCUACCUUAAAGGUUCCAGAAGCUAUAGUUUAAUUUACACAGACAUGCAUUAUACAUAACAAACCUCCAAUUCCAAUAAAAGAAAAUUUUUAGUUUAGUUAUAGAGAUUAAGCUGAGCAACACAAUCCUAUCCAGAUGAGAGCUUAACAUAAAUAUAUUUUAUGCUAAACAUGUCUACAUAAAGAAAUGAAACGUAUUAGAAGUUUAAUUAAGAGGUUAUUCUGUAGUUAGUCUGUUAGAAGCUGUUAUUAAAUUCUCUACUAUUUUAACUGUUGGUUCACUUUCUUCACUUGUGUGUAAAUACCAUUAGGCAAGACCAUUAAUAAGGUAAGAAAAUCUAAUUAUUACAUUUCUUCUAAUAUGGUAUCAGGUGUUUUACUUUCUCCCAACUAGUCUUCAACCUUCCCAUUCUUUCACAUUGACUGUUAUUUCCACCAUGGCUAAUGAAGAUCUCCCUCAAGAUCCAAAUCCUCCUCUAGCUUCAUUCCAAACGCAAAAGAAGCCCAAUCCCACUCCUCAUCGAGAUGCUUCUCCUCACCUAGUAGUUGAUCUUUCCAGGGUAUCUUAAUCCCUACUAUCUGCAUCACAACAACACCAGUCUAUGUUAGUCGAUGAGCCAUUGCCUGGAGAGAACUAUGUUUCUUGGAGUCGAGUGGUGAUUAUUGGACUAUCUGUCAAAAACAAACUCAGCUUUAUUGACGGAUCCCUCCCUCGUCCGACUGGCGGUCUUCUCUCUUCUUGGAUCCUGAAUGACAAUAUUGUUUUCUCUUGGAUCUUGAACUCAAGUCUCUAAGCCAAUAUCGGCAAGCAUUUUAUUUGUGGACUCUGCAAGGAGUACCUAGAUCGAACUCAAAGAGCGAUUUCAACAAAAGAAUGCUCCAAGGAUCUUCCAGGACAUGCUGCUGAUAGAUGCUACAAAAUCCAUGAAUAUCCACCAAGUUAAGUCUAAACAACAACGCUCUAGUAACAAAAAUCCAAAUACAUCCACCAAUAAUGUGAACUCUGUUACUACUCAGUCCAAUGAAAAUCAGUGUCCAUAUACAACUAUCGUUCCCGUGAUGAAUAGUACAACAAAUCCAGCAGAGGCUUUGUUGCAAUGUUAGAAUUUCCUUAAUCAACUCCAGUCUCGACUGCAUCCUCCUUUCAUAUAGCAAGUAAUUUCUUCAAAUUCUUAUUGGAUUGUUGAUUAUGCGUCUACACACAUAUGUUGUUCUAAAGUACAUUUUACUUCCAUUUCAUGAUUGUAAUGUUAAUGAAUAAUGAUCCUAAUAGUACUCAGCCUGAUGCAAUUGACAGUACUAAUCAACCUCAUAGAAGUGACAGAACUCAUAGUUCUCCUCCGAACAGUGAAAAAUUUACUCAUGAGACUGUACCCGAACUAUGUGAAUCAUCACAUAGUCAACAGCAAGAACCAAGUGAAAAAGUUAAUGAAGAGGUUCAAGCGUCCACUAUUUAGCCAAGUCCUGUUGAAAAUCUCCAAUUAAGGUCUACAAGACUCAACAAAUCGCCUUCACAUUUGCAAGCUCAUCAUUGCAAUCUACUGACUAUGGAUCCUUUUAACACAACACUCAAUAAGAUAUACUAUUGACAAAUAUGUUUCAUACCAGGAGUUGUCAUCAUCAUACAACACUUCACACUUCACACUUCAAGUCUCAGCUCAACAAGAACCUAAUUUCUAUCAUGAAGCUAUCAUCCAUGAACAUUGGCGACAAGCUAUGAGAGCUGAACUAAAAGCAAUGGAGUCAAAUCAAACUUGGAGUACAGUGCCAUUACCAAGUGGUGAGAACACGGUUGUCCAUGGAUUUACAAGAUCAAACAUAAAGCAGAUGGAUCCAUAGAGAGAUACAAGGCGCGUCUUGUUGCAAAAGGAUAAACACAACAGAACGGGCUUGACUACUUUGAAACUCUCUCCAGUUGCAAAAAUGGUCACAGUUAAAACUUUGUUAACUAUGGUUGUUUCAAAACAUUGGCCAUUAGUUCCAUUGGAUGUAAAAAAUGCCUUCUUACAUGGAGGUCCCUUUGAGAAAGUAUAUAUGGAUAUGCUUCCAGGCUACAAGCCAUGUGCUACAUUUCAGGGGAAGAAAAUGGUUUGUAAACUUUAUAAGUCCAUUCUAUGGCUUACAACAAGCCUUCAAACAAUGGUUUGCCAAAUCUCAAUGUUUGUUGUUUUGUUGGGAUUUCAACAAUCCAAAGUUGAUUAUUCUUUGUUUGUCAAAGGUAAAGGUGAUGAUUUCAUAGCUCUCCUUGUCUAUGUCGAUGACAUAAUAAUAACCGAAGCUAAUGACACUCACAUUCAAGAAUUAAAAAUAGCUCUUAAUGAAAGAUUUCACCUUAAAGAUUUGGGCUCUCUUAUAUUCUUCCUUGGUCUUGAACUUGCUGGAUCUUCCUCCAGUUUGUUUUAAUCACAGACAUUAUGCUAUGCACCUACUUGAAGAUGCUGGACUUUUAGGUGCAAAGCCAACAUCAAUUCCAAUGGAUCCUUCACUAAAGUUAGUUGCUUCAGACAAGGAUAUUCUCCAUGACCAAACAGCAUAUCGAAGAGAGUAAUUGGCGACCAGACAUCACCUUUACAGCCCACAAACUUAGUCAAUUCAAGGCAAAACCAACUAAAGCUCAUAUGACUCAAACUAUUUGCUGAGAUAUAUAAAAGGAUCUCCUAAAAAAGGGAUUUUUUUGUCCAAAACUCAAGAUUUCUCUAUGCGAGCCUCUUAAAUCACCAAUUCAACCCAAAAGCUUAAGCUGAUGGGUGAAGGAAAAAUUAAUAGAAUAUCUAACAUCCCCAUCACUUGUGGGCUAGAAAUAUAAAGAAAGACCCAAACAAGUAGAAAUCAAUAUUAAAUGGGGAGGAAACAACAAUGUAGGGACUUGAACACAGGACCUCUUGGACCACCUGCUUUUGAUACCAUCUCAAAUCACCAAUUCAACCCAAAAGCUAAAGUUGAUGGGUGAAGGCAAAUUUAGUAGAAUAUCUAACAUUGUUGAUGCCAACUGAGGAUCUUGUUUAGAUAUACCCACUGCUCUAUCACAGGAUUUUGUGUCUUCCUUGGAAAUUCAUUGAUAUCAUGAAAAUCCAAGAAACAACAUACUGUUUCUCGAUCAUGAGCAAAUGCGGAAUACUGUGCAUUAGCCACGGUGUCAUGUGAACAUUGUGAAGUGGUAUCAAGUAUGGCUUAAAAGUCUACUUCACGAACUUCAAAUUCAAGUACCAUCCCCAGCUCUUGUUUUUUGUGAUAAUCAAGCUGCAAUUUAUAUUGUUGAUAAUCCUACAUUUCAUGAAAGGACUAAACACAUCGAGCUUGAUUGUCAUUUUGUUUGAGACAGCAUUAUGGAUGGUUUGUUAAAGUUGUUGCCCAGUCGCUCCUCGAAUCAACUAGCAGACAUACUUACUAAACCUCUUCUAGCAACAUUUUUUCCCUCUAUUAAGCAAGAUGGGUGUUAAGGACAUAUUUUUCCCAUCUUGAGGAGGAGUAAUAGAAGUUUAAUUAAUUAAGAGGUUAUUUUUAGUUGGUCUGUUAGAAGUUGUUAUUAAAUUUGUUAUUAUUUUAACAGUUUAUUCACUUUCUUCACUUGUGUAUAAAUACCAUUAGGCAACACCAUUAAUAAAGUAAGAAAGUCUUAAUAUUACAUUUCUUCUAAUAAAAAACGAAAGGAUGUUUUUUUAUAUUUUUUUCAUCUCAUAGAAAAAUUGAGAUAUUUCAAACCUCUAAACCAACGCAGAAGGGGAGCUCAGCUUGUUUGUUCUGCACAUCAUUGGAUGAAUCUUUCUUUUCUAAGUAGACAGAGUAACCAACGCAAGCAUACUUGAAAUCUGUAAGACUGCGUCCCUCUUUUGAAGCUUCCAACUCAGUUUCUCCCACUAUGUAGUUUGGUACUGCUUAGAAAAAUUAAUGAUUACUGUAUAUCCCGUAAAACUUUAUUGUCAAUAUGCUUCACAUCAGAACAGGAGUGAUUUACAAAAGUAAAAGAACUAUAUAUAUUGAAGGGAAGCUAACAGUCUAGCACAAUUUUUCAAUAGUCGAUAUAAUGUCGGUAACUAGAUAGAUUCCAAAGCAAUUCCUCUACAAGAUCCUUUUCAACAUGUGGAUAAUCCUAGAUACAACUCAUCGCAAACUCAAAUGAAUGACGUGAGCGUGUCCGCUCAACACUGCUAGAGCAACUAGGGAGAUAUUUAUGACACCAAAUCAUCCAAAUUCUGAACUUUUUUGUUUUUAAUGAGAAACCUGGGAGUAUAUUCAGACAAAGAAAAGAAAACGACCUAGGGGCAGGAGAUGGGAUCCACACCCAAGGAGGCCAAAUACCAAAGCCUUUUGAAUUGUUAGUGAUCAACCACAUAAGAUAAUAAAAAAAAUCUUGUUGCUGUGAUAAAAAUAAAUAAAUAAAAUAAAAAGAUAAUUACAAAAUAAAUGUGCAAAUUGCUGUGACACCACCGAGGGCAAUGAGGUGUUCAUUGCUAAAAAAAAGACCCAAAAGUGGAGAUCUUAUUUUCAAACAAUCGCUGGUUUCUCUCUAACAAACUUUGCAUUUUUUUCUAAUCAGCAGUCCCACAACUUAGCCCUGACAACAAAUCCCCACAACACCUAGCAUGCGUUGUUAGCCGCCAGCCAUUUAGAACACUUUCAUUUGUUACCAAAUUGUAUUGAAAAUACAUCUUGACUUAAGGGCAAUAAAUCAGAUAACAUUUGGUACAGAAAUCUCAUUCGAUCAUACUGUUUUUUACCAAACAAUACGCACAUUGGCAGUGGUAAAACGCAAAGGUCCUUUUCUACCUCAAUAUUCCAUCCCUACAAUCAUUGAAUUCACAAAACUACCAUAUCCAGAUACGCUAUAGACACCACAAAUGUUCUGGGUUUUAUUUUGCUGUAACAUUUUUUAAGUUUAACUACUAGUGUCCAAACCAGUUUAAAUGCAUUGCGCAACUUUGACUAAUCCCACAUGAUAUAUUAAGAUCAUCUUAGGGAAAUAAUGAUAAAUAUUUAGACCAAGAGAUUUCUUGAUGUUUGUGUGGUUAAAUAUCACAUUUCUAUGGCAGCUACAGUAUAUCUCUGGAAGUGGCUUGAAUUCUGCUGAUUUCUUUUUCAUGAGUACUCCUAAUUUCUCUCAUACUUUCCAACUUCUAAGUGAACUAACAUAGCUCAUUCUACCCACUCUUUGUUCAGCUAAUAGGCUCUUCUUUUCUUGCGUGUUCAUAGUACCAACACCAACCAGCAACCAUGCUUAGCCCUUCUUCUGCAAGUGUAGUUCAUUCCUCACUUCAAUCCCAAAAGAUUCCUACUCCGUAGGAUAAUGUUCACAAAUUUUCUCAGGUGUCUGUUCAUUCAAAAUACACAGGUUGCUUCUUAAUAACUUGAUUCAUGACACAUUUGCCCUCCUCUUUCAUCUAUCUAACAUUUUCUCUACUGUCUGGAUUUUGAUAUUCAGAAAUGGGGCUUCUUUGAUCCAUUUGCUCUCCUCUUUAUGGCAGCGUGACCAAAACAACCUCAUUUCAGCGACCCCCCUCACCCAAAAUCUUGUCAAAAAGGAGAGGACAAAAGGCAUCUUCAACGGCAUUUGGAAGAGCAAAUACCCAAAAUAAAAUAUCAAGUUCUACUUUUAGGAACUUAAUCACUCGAGCAUAAACAUUGGCGUUCCCUGGGAUGGUGUUCCCUUUCCAAGAAAGAGUCAAAAUCAUUCCUCACUUGCAUGUAUACCAUCAAUCUUUAAACUUCCAUCCUCUCCACUUUCAAGUAGAAAAUUGGUGCUUGAAAUCCUCAUUGACAAUCCUUACUAUAAUCAUGAAAAGAAAAGAAACCCUUUAGCUUACACUUAAGAUCUUCCGAAUUGCCAUUCUCUUGUUUCAUAGAAUUAUGCACAACCACCAUAGUCAUAGAGAAAACACCAAACACAGGUGAGUCGAUGCAUGUGGGAAAAUAACACCAGGCUCCUUGAGUUUCAAGAAGCGACCAUUGCAGAACCCAAAAUAAGAGAUAAAAAACAACAAUAUACAAUAACACAUAACAAAAUAAAAAAGUAAUCAACACCCAGAUGAUAAAAAAUGAAAACGAAUACGAUUCUGAACCAUUUACCCACUAAUCAAAUUCAAUCUGAAGCGAAGCAUGAAAGAAGCAAAGAGAAAUGGGAGAGGUACCUUGGUCGAGAGUUUUGGACAAUCCAAUGCAAGUGGGUGUCUUAGAUUUGGAUUUUUGAAGUGAAGAGUAAUAGAGGCAGCCCUUACAAGACUUGCCUUUCGAAUCUUUAACCCCAUUAGAGGUAAGAUUAGGUGCUUGAUUUUGAACUCCAUCUGAUUCAUCCAUCUCGAGGUUCUUGAUGACUUUCUCUGGCUAUGAACAUCAAAUACAGAUACAAUAGAAUAAGAAUUACUGGCGCAAAGGGUUCGUCCCCAAAAUCUCUCUCCCUCUCUCAAAUACUAGGCUAUUAGACUUGGAUGAAUAACACUAUAAUGGAAGGUUUUGUUUUUUGUUUUUUCUUCUUUUUGUGACAGUGGAUUAGUAUUUAGUAUAAAAUUUUGGGGUAUUGCUUUUUCUUUCUUUCUUCUUCCUCUUUUUAACAAUAGAGGGGAUGAAUUUGAGGCUAAAAUGCUAUAUUCGUAUUGGUUUCAUUCUAUGUAUAGGUCCUUGAAAUUUAGUAUUGGUAUUUUCCCAUCGAUAUUAAAUUUAGUCUCUCUUUUUUUUAUUUGUUUAAACAAAAUAAUCGAUAUGUAAGAUUGAAAUUGAAAUAUAAGUUUGUUGAUUUUGAUAGAGUUGUGUAUCUUCGUUUGAAUUGUUUCAUCGAAUUCAUUAACUUGAUCAAACUAGAUAUUGAUGUUUGGGUCUAGUGCAAUUGAACUAAAAAAUAUACCAAACCCAAACACGUUUAGAACUAUGAUGUAAACUCUAUGAACAAGAACCUUGAGAUUGAAAGCCAUAGACUAAAACUUCCAAAAUUUAAAGGAUAUCAAAUUCUAAAGACUAAAACUUUCAAGUUUUGAAUAUUAUAAAUAUUUUCUAAGAUUCAAUUUGAAGGGCACCCCACUCCCUCAAACCAAGUCGAAAAUGAAAAUUGACUAAACAUCUCUAACACGGGAUAACAAAACUUGAACUUAAUAUUCAAACAAUAUGUUUAAAUUUAACAUGUCUAUCAUAAACUUUAGUAUGUGCCUACACAAAUAUAAAAUAUAAUAAUUUAUGAAGUAAAAAAUUUCUUUACAAACAAUAAAACCAAACAAGUUAAAAGAUAUUACAUCAUAACACAUUGGGUGAUUGGUGAACCAUUUGAGAAAUUGAGACUCACGUUUUUUUAGAGUUGCAUGCACUUCUUAGUGAACUAACACAAUGUGGUUACGACCAAUAUGAGAGAAUGAGACAAUUCUCAUUUCAUUGCCUAUAAUUUUUGCAUAAUCUAUAAACAACACUUUAGAAAUAUGAACGGUUGCGUAAUUCAAUAGUUCAACUAUCCUUGAAUAAUCAAAUUCAACUAGGAUAUUUGAUAGAUUGAGUGAUAGAAAUACUUUUAAGAACAAAUUCAAUCAUAUACUUUGUUAUGGAUAACAUAAACAAGUAAAAAAGAAUUAUCGUAGACAAAGAAAAAAAUUAUUUACAAAAUAUAGAAAAGAAAAGAUUUUAGGAAUUUAAUGGAUUUUGAUAAAUUUUGUAAAUAGUUUCAAUAUUCUCUUAUUCUUUAAAAUGAAAAGAAAAAAACUAUUUUGUAGAGAAAUUAAAAAAAAAAAAAAAAAGUAUAAAUUAGUCGUAAUAGUCUAAUAAAUCGUAUAAGUUGAAAAAUAAGAAAAUGAAAAAGAUGAGUUUAGGGGCAAAAUAAACCGUAUAAAAUGAAAGGGCGAAAAGCGAAAGAGGGUGCAUUAGUAAUUUCACAUGUUCUAGGGUUUCCACAAAUCUUCUACUUAAACUCCUUCCAAUCCCCUCUUCCCUUCAAAUCCCCAACCUCAGCGCUUCCCCACGCUCUCCAUCUAUUACAUCUUUCCACCAGUUUUCUUACUUUUAGGGUUAGGGUCAGGAUUACUGGCCUGCUUCAUACUUCUGAUUCUCAUGUUCUCCUCCGGCCGAUGAUUUAGAAAUUUUGUCCGUACCAUCUGAGAAGUAUUUCGAUGGAGUACACAAUCAAUCUUUAUGUUCUGAGGCCUUUUCCUUGUUUGUUUUUCCCUCAAUCUUAUUUCGUAAAUUUUCUUUGUUUUUUUUAAUCGUAAGGCAAUAAAUUAGAGUCUCUGAUGCGCUUCUAAUCUUUCCGUAGCGUUUUCAGCGCUGUACGUUGCCGACAUCGAUCUUUGAGAGAUGAGAUUCUGGCAUUUGCUUCCUUCAUGAAGUUUAUGCAUUCAGAUUUUCUCACAUUUUGAUUCUAUUUCUCUUUUCUCUUUUAUCCCAUUAUGAUUUUAUCAUUUCUUGAAGAUUAUAUUAUUCGUGAUGUUUAGUUCUCCAUAUUUGUUUGAUUAGGAUGAUAGAUUUGGUAAGGAGUCUAUGAUGAUAAACCUUAAGGCUUGUUUCUCAAAACAUUCGCAGUGGCCGCCUGAGAGCUUUCGCCUUCGCCAGGCUUGAGAGCUUCUGCUGUUUUAUCCUUCCUUGGAUGUCUGAGACUCUGAUUAACAUUUCUUCAAUGUUCUCCAUAAUCUUAAUAUUACUUUAUGAUCCAAUCUUAGUUUUCGAAUUCUCCCUUGGCACUAGUUUACGUUGAUAUUCAUUGUUCAAUUGUUGGAUCUGUUCUAAAUUUAUGUUAUAAUUUGAUUUCCGUUUACUGUUUGAGUACCAUAGGAUUUUUGGGUCUUCUGAUAUCCACUGCCAUUGGGAAAUCAUGGAACUGUUGGAUUUGUUCAUGGCUUAUCUUAAAUCUCCGUUUUCAUUGUGCUUGGAUUAUAAUUGUUGGGUUUGAAUUUCCAUAUCUUUUGUUUCGAUAACAAUGAUGAUAUCUUGAAGGCUUGUUUCUCAAAACAUUCGCAGUGGCCGCCUAAGAGCUUUCGCCUUCGCCAGGCUUGAGAGCUAAUGCUGUUUUAAUCCUUCCUUGGAUGUCUGAGUUUUCAUGAAAUCCUUUUUUAUUUUACUCAACCAAAUCGUUUUUUUAUUGUUGAUGAUGACACAUUUCUCUUUGGUUGCUUCUUCCGCAGCUCCUGUCUUAAAGUACUCGCCUUUUGUAGGCUUGAGAGCUUAAUGCUGCCUUCUUGUAAUGUCUGAAACCAAUUGUUUCCUAUUUUUUGAUCCUGUACAUAAUUGAAUUAUCAAUCUUUGAGGUUCGUUAUGAAUAGAAAGAGGAGUUUACUUGUUUAUAAGUUGUGAAUUUAUGAAAUUUUGUUUGGGGUUGAUGGAGACAUGACUUUCCCCAAGGAUUAAAUAUGCAUUUUGGUUGUGAAUGCAUGAUUUAAAACCCUCCUUGAGCUCACAUCCUCAGCCAAAAAAUCAAAAGUAAACGAACAAUCAAGUAUCAAAUAUAAAAACAGUCAUGAAAUUGUUGAUAAUAAAAGAGCUUUUGUUUUUGGCUUGGAUUACAAGAGCCGCUGAAGAUCAGAGUAUACGUACUAGCUCAAGCCAACAAGGAAAUCGAAUGUAAAACUAUAUUGAGACUCAAGGAAAGAAAAUGUUUGACGGACCCUAUAAUGUGGGGAAGAGAAUCAACAGAUAAGGCAGCUCUCUAUAAAAGACUGGAAAAGAAGAGGAUGUUGAUGGAGAUCAAGAAUAUUAAAUUUAUAUAUAAAAAAUAAUAAUGUGUGAUCCCAAAGAUAAUAUACAAAUAAGGGUAAGCAAAUCUGAAAUUAAUGAUAUAAAGUUAUUUUGAUACAAAACCUAAUAAUACUGUAAUACUCCAAAAAGGUAUUGUAAAGAUAUGGCAUUUGGCUAGUACACUCUUACAAAUUUGAGCAUUCAAGUUUUAAAAGUGUCGAAGAUGAUGAUUUGAAAUGAAAUUUGAAGAAUUUCUACAUCUUUCUCCAGAUCUUGUUUAUAACAAUUUCCAAACAUAACAGUUACCAUGGAUUGAAGGGUUAACCACUUUUUGUCAAGCUUGAAAAUAGAAUGGAUUCACAUAUACUUUUUAUCAAGCUUGAAACAUGGAGUGGAAGCUCACAUAUCAUAUCAAGAUUGUCAUGUUGACUGGUUUCAACAUAGACAACUUCUUCAAGUUCUUUAUUUGUAACUUUUGUUUGUUUUUAAACUAAGAUGAAAUAGUCUUAAUAAAAUUAAUUGUGAUGGAUGUUCAAGAUGUCUUGAGUGAUUUGCUUAGUUUUUGAUGAAUAUAAAUAUGUAAAAGAUAUAUAGUAUUAGAAAGAAAAAAAAUUACUAACUAAAUCGCAAUUUUUAAAGAUGAAUGAAAAAGAUUUAAUAAAAUAAUUGUAAUCACAUACCGUAAACCAUUUGCUAUAAUUUUGAAGAAUUUUACUCUUUUUUUUUUUUUUUUUUUUGGACACAUUUUCAAACCAAAACCCUAAAAUUUUGCUAUUUAUACCUAAUUUAUCUGUCUAUUGUUGAAGGCCCAAAAAGAGCUCAACUCUGAUUAUGAUUUUGGGCUUAGCCCAUUGACUUAAAUUAGGAAGGCCCAGACGGCCCGCACCAAUAGAAUCCGUUUGAAGUUUGGGCACUGACCGGCCCACUAACUGUCAUUUUCUUCCCUAAAAAAAAGAAAAGAAAAAGGAAAUAUUAUUAAACAUUUUUCUUUCACUAAAAUUAAAAUAAAGAUUUGUAUUGUUUGGUUAAUAUAGUACUCUAAUUUAAAACACAAAUAACAUAAUUAAACUAUCUAUAGCGUGUUUGGCAAUUUACUUUGUUAUUUAAAAUAAUUUUCUAACUUGAAAAUGUAUUUAAUUUUUUUGUUGAGAAAAUAAUAAAUCAUUUUUUAAUUUUGAAGUUGUAUUACAAAUAUCGAACUAAUAAAAAAAAUUAUCAAAAUAGUUUUUGUUCGUAUUCAAUGCGAAACUAUAUAUUCUAAAAUUUAACUUUCCUUAAAUGAUGAAGAUCAAAUUUACAAUUUAAGGAGAAAAAGAUAGUUUUGAUAGAUGAAAUAGUAGAAUAGGAAAAGCACACAUUUUUAGGCAGGAAACAAAAAAAAAAGAAAGAGAGAAUGAAUGAUGAAUAUAAUGUUUAUUUAUGAAAUGUUAUGGAGUGAAGCCCAUUUCCCUUUUCCAUUCAAUUCUCUAUCAAAUCAAAACUUCCAAUGACUUUAGGAUUUCCAUUGAAAUUGGUGCACCUAACCUAUCUUAUCUUUACCCUAUACAUACAUACCCUACAUUUUAUAUACAUGUACAUAUAUAAAUAUAUAAUAAAUUUAUUAUGAUUUAGAAGGUCUCCUUCAUUUUCUAACAUUCAAGUUGAAAUAUUUUGAACUUAACGCAUUUUGGGUUAAACUGUCGUAGUAUAUCUUAUAGUUAGUCUUAAUACUCGUUUUGGGUUUAAAGAGUAACAUGCAUGGAUGAACUACACGGUUAUAAAUAAAACUCAAAAAACUAAGUUGUUACGUCUAUAAGAAAAAGUCCGAAACCAAAAGUGUUUUUUUUCAAAUAAUUUAAUUAGUGGAUGAGUUUUGAUAAUUAGUGUUUACUAAUUUCAUUAAUUAUUAUCUACCCUAGUUUAUUAGUCUGACCUAGUGUGACUUGUGUUACAUAAUGUUAAAUAAUUGUUUUGUAGAAACUAAAUAAUCACAAUUAUCACUACGCAAAAGAUAGGUUUGAAUGAUAGUUUAAUAAUUAAAUUUAUGAUUUAAACUUUGAAUUGAACGUUUUAUUUUAUUAUUUUAAAUGAGACAAUAUUAAAUAAUUCUAUACUUAUCAAUAAAAAAAAUUUGUUCAUUAAACGAAUAUUAAACGACGUAAUGUUUUCAUGGCAAAACAACUCAAAUCGAACUAAACACACCUUCUAACUCAAAUACAAAAAGUUCAAUAAAUGUAAUAACAAAUAAAACAUUUAGUGUAGUGGAGAUGAUUAGUGAGUAUGGUGAAACGAUUUUAUUUAAUUGUAAAAUUUUUCAUAAAACUAUUAGAAGAAUCAAAUUGGUCGUUAUUUUUGUGCGCUCAUUGCCUCAAUUCAUAAUCAAAUCAAACCAAACCAAAUGAGUCUUUUUAGGGACAAUACAAAUUUGUAUCAUUGAAUUGAUGUACCAUAAUUCUUGAUGGAAUAGAAAACUCCCAUGUGGGCAUUGAUCGCUCAUCCGACCCACUUCUCUAGCACAUACGAUUUGUUAGUGCUAAUAUAUGUAAAAAUUUUGCGUAAGUGUAGAGCCAAGUUGAGUAUAAUUUGAUACCCAAGUUUGUACAUGGAGUACGUAUUUAUCUCAGUUAAGCACAUAAAGAAUUACUUACCUAUUUAAGUAGUCAGUACAAGCCAAUUUCUAAGGUGCUUAAGAUUGUAGAGUGCCAACGACAAGCUUGACUCAGUCAUUUCUCCUUUGAUAGACAUCUACAAGCUCGACUAGUCGACUCAAAACUCGAGGGUUUGACUUUUUAUCUAAAAAGAAUUAACGAAAUUGGUCGUUUCUUUGAUGCACCUAUUGCUUCCAUUCACAAUCAAAUCAAACCAAACAAAAAGGAGUGUUUUAAGGGUUAACACAACCUAGCAUGCAUUGAAUUGAUGGCAUCAUAUUCUAAAUCAUUUAAAUUAUACCUUUUGUCAAUAUUGUCUUCAUUUGUUCAUCUCCUCGACAACCUCCCAUUUAAUAGACAAUAUUUGUACUUCCUCAAACAACACCACACAUUGAUGUUUCAUAAUACUCAACACAACUUAUCAAAAUUAACAAUAAUUUUAUACAUUAAUUCAAAUACUUGGACUCUAUCCUAAACACACAUUAACCCAUCAUAUAAUUACAACUCAUAAACUUAAUUAUGUCAUUCAUAAUUGCAACCCAUUAAGCACAUUAACCACAUGUUAGAAGAUCAUUCAAGAAAGACAGUGAAAAGAAAAAUCAUAGAUUGAAUAAUGUAUAUUAUCCUCUUUAUCUUUUUUUAGAAAGAAUGAAUAAUAAUGAAUAAAGGGGGUAUAGAGAUGAAAUUAAAACGUAGUAGAAUAGAAUAAUAAAGAAAGUGUGUGUUAUAAGUGAAUAAAAGGAAAUUGGGAGUGUGUUAAGGAAGGAGGAGAUUUUUUUUUUUUAAAAAAAGAAUGGAAUUUAUAAAGAUAACUUGAGAAUAGAGGAAAAUAUAAUAUAAUGUGUACAAGUGAUUGCCCUAACUUUAUCUUCUCUAUUUCUAAACCAUUUCACACCUUUAAUAAAAAAAAGCUUCCAUUUCCUAUAUCUAAUUUCAAUUCAACCUAAUAAUCAUAUUUUCUAUUUUAUUUCAUGAAAUUAAAUUUACUAAAUUUAAGAUUUAUUGAAAAUAGAAAUAUUUUAAUAUAAUUAUUAUUAUGAUUACUAUUAUUUAUAUUGAAGCAUAGAAGGAAAUUAAAAAAGAAAAAAGUAAUGGGAUCAUGUAACCGCCCAACUGCCAUAACAGUCUGAAAUUACAUCAUCAUCUUAUCUCAAAGGGAAAAACGAAAAGACCAUUCAAUCUCUUACAACUUCACCUUUACUCUUAAUUCAUUCCCUUUUUUUAUUAUUAUUACUUUCUUAAUUUUUCACUCAAUUUUGUUUCUUACUUUCAAAGUUUUGUUUUAGAAUUUGAGUUCCUCUCAAUUUUAUGUACUUCGUAUAACAUUAUAUAUAAGAACGGUCAUCCAAACUCCUCUAAAUUUAGGUUCACAUCCAUUCAUUUUUGUUAAAUUUAUGAUAGCCAUUAUAAGUUUGUAGUUAUGCAUGUAGACCAUAUGGAAGAGUAUAAAUGUACUACUUUAUUAACUUUAUAGAUAAGCGUGUACAAGAGAUAAAAUUGUUUGUAAUUUAAGUCAUAUCCUUCUUUACUAUUAGCUUAAUCCUUGUUUUUUUUUUUGUAAUAAUCUCGUUCUAUAUACAUUUAUUUUAACAACAAAAGUGAAGUGAAGGUUUGAACCUCAUUCGUUCAUUGAGAAAACUUAGAAAUGUUGUAUUUUUCAUAUAACUUUUUUUUUAAAUUAUUAUUAUUAUAUACAUGUAUUGGCUUCAAUCCGAGAGAAAACAAUAUAUAUCUUUUAAAAAAUAAAUAAAAGUUUGUCACUUGAUAAAUUCUUAUAUAAUUGACUAGGUUGUAUAAAAAAGUUAGGUGCAACCCAACGAACAACAAAAUAUAUUAUUAUAUAUCAAGAAAAAGAUAAGUUUAAUUUUUAAGUCAUUUUUUAAAAAAAGAAAAGUAUUUGAAAAUUGAAAGGAAAAGAAAUAUGUAGAUAAAUGUCAAUUUAUUAUUUCCUUUUCUUAAAACUGUUUUGAAAACAAUAAAAAAAUGAUUUAGUUUUGAAAGGAAAACAUUUAUUUACUUAUAAAAAAUGAUGUUUUUUACCCCAUAAAAUGUUUAUAAAUAUAACAAAGUUUUAUAGGAAGAAUAUCGGAUGCAUCUAUGUAGAAAAUAAUUUUUAAACUUGUUUUAUUUUUAAAAUAUUUUAUGUGAAUAUCUUUACUUUUAUCAAUUUUAAUAUUUAUAAUAAAUUUCUUUAAAUAAUCAUAUCAAGAAAUGGGUAUUAUUUAGUGAUAAAAUAUAGAAAGAAAGGGAACACACAUAUCUAAAACAUUGAAUAAUAAAUAAAGAGCACACGAUGAACCAUGGUAGAAAUUUAAUUUUAAUGAAUAUUCCUCAAUUUAGAGAAUUCCAAACUUCAAUAAAUGACGUUUGAUUUUGAUUUUUUAUUUUUUUAUUCUUUUGGGAAAGCAAAAUUAAAAUUUUCAAUUACAAUGAAUCUAUUCCCAUUUAAAUACUCAAUAAAUAAAUAAAUACUAUCAAAUAAACAAAUAAACAAAUAAUAAUAACUAUUUAUCUCAAUAUAUUCCUUCAAACUUUUCUUCCUUAAAACUCCGACGAUAAUUCGCCCUUUUUUCUCUCUCUUUUUAAUUGCCCAUCAUGUGCUCAUUUCUUUAUUAUAAAUUUUAGAAGAUUCUUUUUUUCUUGUUGUUUUAAAUAAAAUAAAUAAUUUAUUUUGUUAUAUUUAAUUGGAACAUUUUAUUUUAUUUGCUAUAUUUAAAAGUAAUCCAAAAUGAGUUUUUUUAUAUAAAUAAAUAACGUGUUUCUGAAAAAAAAGCCAUUAUUAUUAUUAUUACUUUGUUUAUAUGGAUAAUUGUUAAUGGCUUGAAAAUAUUAGUGAGACUCACACUUCAUUAUUAAAUGCAAUAUAAAUAAAUAAUAUCAAUGUCUUUUUCUAAAUAAUGCAAAUCAAUUGUUAUUGUGAUUUAGUUUCUCUAAAGAAAUUAAAUAAGUAAAUUUAAAAAACAUGUGAUGUGUAAAACCAAUAAUAAUAAUAAUAAUAACAACAACCAUAUACAAUUCUUCAACCUAUUAAUUAUUUAUUAUAUGAAUAAAGAAAAAAAAUAUUAAUUUAUACCUCUUGUAUCAAUUUAAAAUAUAAAUUACUAAUUUAUGUCAAUUUAACCAACAAAGUUUUAUAUAAUUUAGGCGGUCAAUUAUUACAUUUCAUUUUAAAAUAUGAGAUUUUUUAUUUUAUCAAUUUAAUACUAAAGUUAAUUUUUCUUUCAGUUCAUGUAUUAAAGUAUUUUGUAAAAUUGAAUUUGAGUUGAGAUUCCAAUCUAGGAGUUGGAUUGAUACAAAUUAUAAAUUUUACGUUAUACUUAAUAAAACUAUUAAAAUUCACGAAAAAUAAAUUGAUAUUUUUCUUAUUAUUAGUUACUAAAAAUUUCAAUGAUUAGUCUAAAGAUAUCAAAGAAUGAUGUGAAUAUUCGAAUAAUUUAAUCUUUAAAAUAAAAUAUACCUUUUCAAGUUUAACAAUAUACACGUAAUAACAUAUUCGAACUUCUAACUUUAUGAUAAUUUUUUUUACCAUGGAUGUUUAAAAUAGCCGUAAAUGAUUUGAUGUAUAUUUGAAAAGUGAUAAAAAGAGAGAGGGAGAGGAGAAAAUAUAAUAGAAAAUGGCUUUUGUAGGAAGGUAAGAAUAUUGUGUUUGCUCCAUUUGCAAUAUGGGAAUCUCCACUUGCCUCUCAACCACUCUCUUUUUUUUUCUUCCUUUAUCAUUGAUUCCAUUGCACCUUUACCCUAUAAUAAAUUCUCCCAUUUUAUUUUCUUCCUUACAUUUUCUAUAUUAUAUAUUUUUCUUCCCUAAAUUAUAGAAAGUAUUCUUUAAUUUUGUCUUCUAUUUUUAAAAAAAUACACCUAAUGAUCUUUCCAACGUCAAAAGUUUCAAUAUUCUUGUAUACGUGUUUUCGUUGUAAAUGUUUCAAAAACUAUAUUUAGAGAAGAAAUUCUUUAGAAUUUAGUACUUGAAUAAUGAUCGCCAUGUUAUUAUUUUAAGUCAUCGUUACAUCUUUAGAGUAUUAUUUCUAUCGAGUCUUUUUGAAAUAAGAGACAAAGUUGUAUUUUUCGUAACUUUUUUUCAUUUUCUUUUUUGUUGAUUAAGAUUAUAGCAUGUUUGUGAAUUAUAUUAAAAUUGUUAAAAUUACCCCCUUUUAUGUUAAAAAAUGUCAAACACCUUCUUAAUCAUUCAAAUUUAUUUAGUAUUUAAUUGAAAUUGAGUUUCAACCAUUAAGAUUAUGAGGAGCGGUCAUAUUAUGAUUAUGUAAUAUGAAGCAAAAAAAUGAAGUACUAUAGAAAAAAAACACUCAUUUAAUUAUUUAGAUGAGUAAUUUUAACAAAUACACCGUAUGUUUAAAUAAAGAGAAAAUCCCAUAAAACGCAUGAAGAUAUAGAAGUCAUGUUUUUCGUUAUACAACGCUUGUUAUGCAAAAAGUUGUUUGGUUUAGAUAAGUAUUUUUAACAGAAAUAUGUUCGUUCAAAUCUCUUCCUUUCAAAAGAGAGUCUAGUAAUGUUCUUUCUCUAAGUAACUUGUUACGGAAUAGAUUUUCGUUCGUAAGACUGGGAAAAUGUGUGAAAAACCAAUUCAAUAAUUUGUGGCAAACAACAAUACACAGUUUCUUUUUACAGCAUUAGAGAAAGAAAGAAAUUGAAAGAAAAAAAAAGUUAGAAAGGAGUUUGGUAAUUUAUAUUAUAUUCCUUUUUUGUUUUUAUCUAGGCUUAUUUUGAAUGGGUGUGUAAAAAAAAAAAAACUAAUAGAAACUAAUGGUUUAAAAAAUGUAAUUAGAAUAAAAAUGUAUUGAAAAAAUUCAUAAUGGAUAAGUGACGAAAUUAACUAUUUUAGGAAUAAAUUUAUAUUUCUUCAUCUCUUUUUAUUUUAUUUUAUUUGUAGAUAUUGUCCUUACCAACAUAAUAUAAAUUAAAAUAGUUGUAAGAAAAAAAAUAUUUGAUGAAUAUUUGUCAAAUGCAGAAAUAUUAGAUUAAAUAGAAUUGUCUAUAUUAUUAAUGUUUGAUGGAGAUUUUGUUUGUGAUAUACUGAAAAUGUCAAUUCAGUGGAUGGAUACCAAAUCAAUAGAUUUUAAUACCAUAUAGAUACAAUAUGUAUUUUCUUAUAAAAAUAAGAAAUAUGAAUUUAGAUUUGAUAAUUUGGAAAAAAUAAAUUGGAAUUAUUUUGAGAGUAGAAAAAAAGAAGAUUAUAUUGAAUAAAAAAGUGGAAUGGUGUUAAUGAGGAGAUAGGAGUAUGGUCUAAGAUUUGGUAACAGUUACAAAUUCCGAAACAUAAUGUUUUAGAGAAUAAAACACAAACCCCUCUCUUCCACUCCAUUAUUAGUUAUUUUUUUUUAUUUCUUCUUCUUCUUCCCUCUUUAUCAACAACUCAGGGACCCACACUCCCAAUUCAAUUUAAAUUAACUUUUAAUUAAUAUUAAUAAAAAAAAUUAAAUUGGAAAUUGGCCUAAGAGAACACAUAAUUGAAGUGACGUAGUAGUUUUUUUUGAGAGUUAGAUGUUCUAAUUUGUAAUUGGAACUGAAAAUUAACGAGAUGGUGUUAUAAGUAACUAAUCCCUUUCUCAUACUUUACGUCACGUGACUUCCCUCCUCCUUCUUUCUUUCCCCCUCUGUCGGCGCUUAUUUACUCUUCCGCCACCAUCGCCACCACCACUCUCUUUCUCUCUCUUCCUCGUGACGACGCCGCCCUCAACUUCCCUACCUCUCUCUAUAAAUACCCACAAAAAGAAACAAAAGGAGAACUCCCAAAUUAAAAUCCCCCCAAUAUGAAGAACCCCAUUUUCUCUCACCGGACCAUUCUUUUCCUCAUUCUUUCAAUUCUCUUCUCCCUCCACUCUGCAUUUGCCGCUCAUGAUUACGCCGACGCCUUGUCUAAAUGUAUCUUGUUCUUCGAAGGCCAACGAUCGGGCUUCUUGCCUCAAGAUCAACGAAUGACGUGGCGUGCCAACUCCGGCCUCGGCGACGGUUGGACUUAUAAAACAGACCUCACCGGCGGCUACUACGACGCCGGAGACAAUGUUAAGUUUGGUUUUCCGAUGGCUUUCACCACCACGCUUUUGUCUUGGAGUGUCAUUGAGUUCGGCGACUUCAUGCCGCCGGCGGAGUUGAGGAAUUCGUUGGUUGCGAUUCGUUGGGCCACGGAUUAUCUCCUCAAAACGGUGUCGGAGCCUAAUCGGAUUUUUGUUCAGGUAAUGAAAAUUUCUUGCAGUAUCGGAGUCUUAGUGCGGUUAGUGGCAGUUUGGUAAAUUGGGAGAUAUUUAUGGGUAUUUCUGUUUUCGUUAUGGGAUUACUCAGCCGAAUGUGACCACGUGGAGUCUUUCCGUCUUUCUUAUUGGUCGGCGUUUUCUUUACUGGGCCCCGCUACGUCCCACCUAAAUUUUCCUUUUUCUUUCCUUUUCACUAUUUAUUGGGAAAACUUAAUCUAAUUACCAAUACUAAAAUAUAAUUUUUCUGUUUGCUACAAAUACCAUUUUGCCCUUUCUACUAUAUUUCCUCCUCUUAUUUUGUGCUUUACCUCUUGCCUUCAAUUUUCACACUCCUUUUUAGUAAGAUUUAAACGACAAUUUAUUUUCAUUUUUCUUCCCAUUUUAUAAUUUUCUCUUCACUUAAUUCAAUCGACAUGCAUAAACUAACCAUACCUUCUAAACAUCGAUUUUAAAAUAACUUACAUAUCUUAACUUUCAAAUCCAAUAUCUUUUUUCAUAAUAAUAACUUUUUUUGUUUGCAUUAAAAUCAAAUAUGUCUUUUUGUCCUAGAGGUAACGAUUGAUCUUCCAUUCUUACCACUGAGUAUAAAGUACUCCACACAUCUAGAUGUUUAAUUACACGAUGUCAGUGACAAUUUUUUUUUUCUUUAUGUAAUUUGAAUGUGAUGCAUGCAGAUGGGGUAUAAUAUGAAUGUACCGAAAUAUGUUAAUCUUAAAAAUAUAUGUUGAGAAGAACAAAAAAAUGAGUGGCCUGGAAGUAAAGUGAAAGGACCCCAGUUGAAUUCCGUGAAUGAUGAAGGAGUUAGGACCCAAAGAAAGAGACUGUCCUAACCGUACAUCAUGUUCCCUACUAUUUAAGGGCAUAUGACCCCCAACCAACCCAUCUCUCAUCAAUGCCUCUCUCUUCCGCAUUUUUUUAGUUUUACUUUUUACGUUCUAAUUACCACUAAUUUUGUGAUUUAACUUAAAGGUGGGUGAUCCGAGUGCGGACCAUUCUUGUUGGGAGAGACCCGAGGACAUGGACACGACCAGAACCGUGUAUGCCGUGGACGCACCAGGGACUGCUUCAGAUGUGGCGGGGGAGACUGCAGCAGCAUUAGCUGCUGCGUCGAUGGCGUUCCGGUCGUCGAACCCAGAGUAUGCAGAGACGUUGCUACGAAAUGGAAUUAAGGCAUUCGAGUUGGCUGAUACCUAUAGAGGAGCUUAUAGUGAUAAUGCUAAUAUUAGAGACGGUGUUUGUCCUUUCUACUGCGAUUUUGAUGGCUAUCAGGUUCGACAAUUUAAUUAUACUUUGAAAUGUAGAUUAAAUUUCUUUUUUUUUUCUUUUAUAAAAAAAGAAAUUUUCUUUUAAUAACAAAAUUAAAUAGAAUAAAAAAAUUAUUAUUUGUAUUUAGAUGCACCCGUGAUGGCAUAAUUUUGUCCUGUUCACCAGACAAUUUGACUUGUUUUUUCUUUUCUUUUCUUUUUCUUAUUUUGUCAUUUAUGGACUAAAUAGGAAAAAGUAGAAGAAAAAAUUAGCACUACUUUCUCACGUAUUUACAUAAUUAUUUUGUUGGAUGAGAAAACUUAAUAAAUCAAAAUUGUUUUGUUAUCACAAAAGAAAGAAAAGUUUAGUUGCCACCAUGCAUACACAAACACAUACAAAAGUAUUUGAAUUAUAUGGAUGUGGGACAGGAUGAGCUACUAUGGGGAGCAGCUUGGCUAAGAAGGGCGAGUCAAAAUGAGUCGUAUUUGAAUUAUAUUCAAGACAAUGGUAAAACUCUUGGUGCUGAAGAUAGCUACAAUGAGUUUGGAUGGGACAACAAGCAUGCUGGUCUUAACGUUCUCGUCUCUAAGGUAUUUUUUCUUUCUUUUAAUCUUAAUCUUUCUUAAAUGACAUUGUUUAUCCAAAAACGUCGUCCUUUUCUGUUCUCAGGAAGCACUUGAAGGAAACAUAUUCACACUCCAAUCAUACAGAGCCUCGGCAGAUAAUUUCAUGUGCACAUUAAUUCCGGAGUCUUCUUCUUCCCACAUCCAAUACACUCCCGGCGGCCUCAUCUACAAGCCCGGCGGCAGCAACCUCCAACACGCCACCUCCAUAACCUUCCUCCUCCUCGCCUACGCUAACUACCUCGAACGCACUUCCUCCACCGUCAACUGCGGCAACGUCGUCGUCGGUCCCGCCACCCUCCGCCGCCAAGCCAAACAACAAGUCGACUACAUCCUCGGCGAAAAUCCCAAGGGCAUCUCCUACAUGGUCGGCUAUGGCAACUACUUCCCUCAGCGGAUCCACCACCGCGGCUCCUCCCUUCCUUCUGUACACGACCAUCCGCAGCCGAUCGCUUGUAAGGAAGGGUCGGCGUACUUCAACUCGGCAGAUCCGAACCCUAAUGUGUUGGUUGGAGCCUUAGUUGGUGGUCCGGGGGAAGAUGAUGUGUAUGAGGAUGAUCGGGCGGAUUUUCGGAAAUCGGAGCCGACUACUUAUAUUAAUGCGCCUUUUGUUGGAGUUUUGGCGUAUUUUGCUGCGAACCCGGGAGGUUGAUUUGGAUUUUCCGGCGUCGGGGGUCGCCGGAAAAAGGAAGGAAGUUUUGUGGGGUUUCUUUUUUUUUUUUUUUUUUUUUUUUUAGUUUAAAAAAGGGAAAAGGAUGGUCUCUCAUCUUUGGUGGUUUUACGAAGAGAGUAGAGGCUUAAUUUGGUAAUUUUACUUCAAUUACCAUUGGAAUUUUAUAAUACUAAAUUUUACGUCUAAAAAAGAGUCCGCAUUCCACAAUGGAUGGGUCAAUAGCUAUGUUGUUGUGACUAUUUUUUUUCUCUUGUAUUUCCUUUACUUUUUUACUCGAGAGACUGAGUUAUAUGGAAUGUAUUAACAAAUGUUUGUGGUAGGAAUUACUAAAACAAUAAUACUAUAUGAAUCCGUGGAUUUCAACAAAAAUAAUAUUGUAGGGUUGUUUUGCAUUAAAAAUAUACAAAAUUUUAAUUUCAUCUAAUUUUAGUGGUAAUUGUAAUUAUGUUUAAAUAUUUGACUAUAUUUUUGUAUAACAUUCAAAUGGAUUAACUUAAACAAUAUUUUUCAAGUACCAAGUGGAAUUCAACAUAAAUAAGUAAAAUUCAAGCUCCCACUUUAACUCUAAAAUUAAAGAUUGUGUUUAAACAAAAAUUCCACCUCAACUAUUUUAAAAUAAAACAAGAGAGAUUAAUUUAAUGAUCUCAAGAUCCGUUGUAGUCUAGUUGGUUAGGAUACUCGGCUCUCACCCGAGAGACCCGGGUUCAAGUCCCGGCAACGGAAUCCUUUUUUGUUAUUAUUUUAUAACAAUUAGGGUUUUUGUUUUAAUUUAUAUAAGUAAGAUAUUUUUAUUUAUUUAUACCUUUUUCAGAAUAAAUGUGAAGCAUUGGAAAUUCUGCUUUGCUUUCCCUGACAAUGUUAAAGGAGGAAAAAAAAAAGUAUUAUUGAAGAUAUUAUUAAUUAUUAAAUACAGCUUUGGGAGUUGGAAAAUAUUAACUUAAAUUAGUUUUUUUUAAUAUAAUUCUUGAAUUAAUAUACACUUCAUUGGUAUGUGGCUUCAAAUUCUAUUUUUAUUUGUUUUCUCCACUCGUAACUUGUAAUAUCAUUUUAGUCAAUAUAUUUUAUUAUUCUUUUAUUUUUUUAAUGAAAAUUAUACAUUUGAAAUAUAUAAGCACUCUAAUCAAACUAAGCUAUAGUAAUUAAAAUAAUAUUUUAAUAUAUAUAUAUAUAUAUAUAUAUAUAUAUAUAUAUAUAUAUAUAUAUAAUAUCUAUAUAAUACGUCAUAUUCACGAUUUUCUUCUUUGUUGAAUAAAUCGACGAAAAUGUACCUUUAUAAAAAAGAGAAAUGUCUUAUUGAAAAAAACAAGAAGAAACGUGUACAAUAAAUAUAAUUAAGAGGUUUUUUAAGAAUAAUAUAAAAAUACAAAAAUUUAUACUUUAUAUUAGAAUAAACUCAUUAAAGUUGAUUUUGCCAUCAAAUGUAAAUAGUUUAUUGGUUGUUGUUUAACAAUUUUCCUCUAAUCAAAAUCAAAUAAAAAAUACAAUAUCGCUAUUUUGCUAUAUUUUGGAAACGGUUUUUUAAUUUUUUAUUUAAAAAUAUUUUCAAUUCAUUUUUAAUAAAAUUAAAUGGUAAAAUUUUAGAAACUUUAUUAAAAAAACGCAUUAAAGUUAAUUUUUAUUCUAAAAUUAAAAUAAAAUUUAGUAGUCUAAUGUUAUACCUCUAAAUCUUUCUAAAAUAUGUUUAGAAAGGGUUUGAUUAUUAGUAAAACAUUAAGCCCAUCCAAAGACAGCCCAUGGACCUCUACCUCAAACUCCCAUCGCUAAAAUAAAAACAAACUUGAAUGAAUUUUAAUAUAUAUAUAGAAUUGGUCUAAGUUUGAUCAAAUAGUUAGUUUAGUAAUGUAGAGAUAUUUUGAUAAUCACUUACAAUACGAAUAUUGAUCAUAUGAUGAGAGCCCUCCAUGACAUUCUUUACACAACACUUUUCCUAAUAUUGUGGAUGCAUAAAUAUUUUAAAUUCGUUUAUUUUGCUACUAAAUCUAAAGAACUACUAAUUAAAUUUAAGGAAAACAUACAAAUAAUAAUUACCCACAAGGGUAUAAUAGUCAUUUUGUUAAAAAUGAGGGACAAAAUGGGAAGUAAAGAUUUUCUCUAUUUUAUAUAUAUAGUAAGAUAAAUAAAUAAAUAAAAGGGUAAGUAAUAGCAAGAAAGAAAAAGCUAUGGAAGGUUGCCAUAAAACCACAUUAUAUGGAGAUGAAAAUUCAAUGCUUCUCUUAAAAGAUUCAUUAAUAGUAUCUUAAAAACAUAAAUGCCUUUAUUUAAGAUGAAAGCUGCAAGUUUAUGAUUAUUCUCAAGAAAGAACACCUACUUUGUUGGACUAAAAGAAUAGUUAAGAAAAUCAUAUUUCUUGACAAUGAAAUAUGAUAAUUAACUUACCAUUCUAUAUUUGAUUUAUUUAAUGGUAAAAGUAUGAUAAUUAAUUAAAUACUAUACAAUAAAAAAAACACAUUUAGAUACAUAUGUUAUGAAUGGUAGGACGUAUGGGGAUCAUUGAAAGCAACCAAAUGUAAAUGGAUCAAGGGUCAGAUCAUCUCAUAGUAAUCAACAUUAUCUAUGGAAAUUGUUCUCCAUCGAUAUUAUUGGGAGGAUGAUAUAAUUGUGUUAUAUAUAUAUAUAUAUAUAUAUAUAUAUAUAUAUAUAUAUAUAUAUAGUUGUAAAGACGAUUUAUCAUUUUUGAUUGAUGUUAAGCUCUACUCUUUUUUUGGUGUACAUUUCUCCAAUUAAAUAGUUUUUUUAUCAUUCUUAGCUGUCACGACAAUUAAUUUUGGACUUUUGUGUUACGUGAAAACAAAACUCAAAUAUUUAGGGGAUCUCCUGACCGAACUUUGUAAAUGUCGGAAGAUUCACCUAUUCCCAACGUCGUAAAGUAAAACGUUAGAAAAAGUGUCAUUCAUUCCUGACAUUUCACUUAUGGCGUCGGGAAAAAUUUAAAAUAAAAUAAUAAUAUCUCUUUCUCCGACGCCAUGAACAUUAAUGUUAGGGGUUAGUGGACCAUUUUCGACGUCUAAACGUAGACGUCAUAAAUGAAUAUCUUCGCCGACGCUUGCUUAACGGUGUCGGAAAUGGUGGGACAUUCCUGAUGUACGUUUCGCCGAUGUCCAUUUCGAUGUUGAGAAUGCCUAAUUUCUUGUAGUGUGAAAAUUUAUUGUUAAACUAUUGUGAAGUUUACUUAACAAUAAAUAUGCACUGUAACCAAAAUUAAGUUAAUUUAAAAUUUAAAAGUAUUACUGUGAAGGCAUGUGGCAACACACUAGUAUAUUAUAUAUGAAAAAAAAUUAAACCCACCUUUUAAAUUGUUUGAAUAUAUCAAAUUUUAACCUAAAUUUUUACUUUCAUCAAAUUGUACAACUAUUAUUAUCUUUUUACGAUGUGAAUGGAGUAGAGGAAUAAAACGUCAAACUUUGAGCUUGAUACUUACACUAUAUAUACCAAAUUUCUGUUUAUUUCUUGCCCCCGAGUAAAGUGUAUAAGAAAAAAUUGUGACAAUUAUUAAAGAAUUGUAACACUUAUCAAAAUUUCGAAAUUUAAGCAUAAAUUUGAUAUAAAAAUCAACAUUAUCAAGUACUUAAUGCAUAUAUUUCUUUUUGUACCAUUUUUUUUCCCUCAUCAUGUUUACAAGUGGUUAGGAAUUUGAUCGAUAAACCACACUGUACUUUUUUUUGCAAAAUCGUGCUAGCUAUCAUAUUGUUCUUUAAACGAACUUUAACACGAACCGAACAAUACCCAAAUAAUUUGUGAAGCAUUUGUGUAAAGAAACAAUGAAAUUUCGUAUGCACAAAGCAUACUCCCUCCCAUCCACACAGUACUAUUAACCACACAUAUUUGCAUCAAAACAAAUAAAACCAAAAAGGUCUAUUUGGAAAUGCAUCAGCAUAAUACAAAAAUAAAACAAAAAUCACCUCCAAAAUGAUGACGUGGCAAGAUAUCUACCGUUGUUCCAUUGUGAUCACAAAUCUCAUCAAAUCCUCUUACUGAACCAUAGCCAUUAAUCCCUUUUUUUCUUCCUCUCUUCUCAAAUCAACACAGAAUCAUAGCCUCAUAUUCUUUACAAAACCAUGAAUGUGAUAACCCUUUGUCCAAUUCCUUCUCUUUUGUUUUUUUUUUCAAUUUAAAAAAAAAUAAUUACAUAAUAAUAAGAGAAACAAAACAAAAAAAAGCUAAAAGUCCAACAAAAAAAAAUGUAGAAUUGGAAAACCAAAUCAAUCAACUAGUUUGGUUUGGCCAUAUUAGAAGAAAACCAGAACGUAUUGGUUCAUAUAGGUUUUUUCAUUAAAAAACCAACCAAUACCAAACCGAGAACCAAGUGAUAAUUAAAAAAAAGGAAAUGUAAAAAACCGAGAACCAAAGUGAUAAUAAACUAAGUCAAGUAAAACUAGUUUAGAUUCAUUUUUCAUAAAACCGGAUUGGUUUGGUUGGGUUUGGUUUUUAUGGAGUAAAAGCAUGAGGAAGAGUGAGGGGGUGCCAAGUCAGCAAAGUUAUCAUCCAGGUGGCAAAGAAAUAUUGGAAGAUGGACAAGGGCCUCAAAUUGGCAAUCUUUAAACAAACACAAAGCAACUAUAAAUACAAAGAGAAUGGCUUCACAUUUGUGGCCACGGAGGCAGCAACCAGAUCAGAGAGCGUUGGUGAAGAAACAAAAAAGAUAAGAUCUUUUUUUUGAACCUUACCUUCGUUUCUCAACACUCUGUUCAACCUCCUUCCUUCAUUUCAACUCAUCAAUGGCUUCUGCUUCUCUUCUCAAAUCCUCCCUUGUUCUCGAUAAGUUCGAGUGGGUUAAGGGCCAGUCCCUCCGCCAACCCUCCGUCUCCGUCGUCCGCUGCCACCCCACCGCCGCCCCAUCCACUCUCAUCGUCCGCGCUGGCUCUUACAAUGAUGAGUUGGUCAAAACCGCCGUAAGUAUAAUAAUAUUCUCUUUUACACUCCAUUCCUCUCUUCUUUCUCACUUCCAACUGAUGUUUUCAAAUAUCAAGACAAGUUUUGAAUACUUAAAAACACUACGGUUUUGAUAUUUUUUAUAUAAAUAAUUUGACUGCAUGAGAUUAUAAGAUAGGAAACGAUGCCUAACUUUAAAUAGAUGUUUUUCAAUAUUACUUCUAAACGUGAAAAUUAUGGUAUGAAAAUAUGGAUAGAAAAGCUAAAACAAGACCUUUCAACUUUCUAAAUUUUUGCUUGCUGAAACCCAGAGGUGAUGGAUUGUUGUAGGAAACUCUGUCAUCUCUAUGUAGCUCAAGCAGUUGUCCAGUAAACCUCUGUCAUCGAACAAUUUUAUUUUUUAAAGAAAAGAUAGAAUUCUUUGAAUCUUUUUGUGUGUCCAUUCUAUUUUGAACCCAUUUCAUUAAUGAGUUACUUUAUUGUAUUUUUCACUUUCUACUCAUGUUUCCAUAAACCAUACCAAGUUUUUAAAACUACUUUUACAUUUAUUUAUUUAUUUUGUUCUUAAAGAGACUUGAAAACUACAGGAACAAGAUGAGAAUAAAUAAAAAUAAAUUUAAAAAUCUUUACUAAAUGGAGUCUUAAUCUUUCAACUUGUGUUGUGUUGUUGCAGAAAACUGUGGCAUCUCCAGGACGUGGAAUUUUGGCCAUGGAUGAGUCAAAUGCAACUUGUGGAAAGCGUUUGGCUUCCAUUGGAUUAGAAAACACAGAGGCCAACCGUCAAGCUUACCGAACUCUUCUCGUAACUGCACCCGAACUCGGCAAGUACAUCUCCGGUGCUAUCCUCUUUGAAGAGACUCUCUACCAAUCCACUGUCGAUGGCGAGAAGAUAGUCGACGUUUUGGUCAAGCAAGGCAUUGUCCCUGGAAUCAAAGUUGACAAGGUAAGACCAUUGUCCCUAUAUAAUCCUAAUAGAAAUUCAAAAAGGCAUUGGAAAUUUUGAGAGUUUGAAUUCAACAAAAAGGCUUGGCUCCGGAAAAGAAAAAAAUUAACCUGUUUUCGUAGUGAACUAGCUUGUUUGUUUUUAUUAACAUAGAUUCCUCUGUUUUUCCAACGUCUGUAAAAAAAUAAACAGGGUUUGGUGCCACUUCCUGGUUCCAACAACGAAUCGUGGUGCCAAGGUCUCGACGGCCUUGCUUCUCGUGCUGCUGCUUACUACCAACAAGGCGCUCGUUUCGCCAAAUGGUACAAAUCAUCAUUCAUUUCAGCUUCAUUUAAUAAAAAAACCCGUCUUAUUUCAAAUUUUUUUUAUAAACUAAAUAGUUAUCAAGCGUUUUCGAAAUCCCAAAACUUGAAAACACUGACAAUGUUAGUUUCCAGGCGCACAGUGGUGAGCAUUCCCAACGGCCCAUCAGCCCUUGCCGUCAAGGAAGCCGCCUGGGGUCUUGCUCGCUACGCUGCAGUCUCACAGGUCUCAACAAAUCAAACUUUUAAUAAUACCCCAUUUUGAUUUAUUAUAACUUGAUUUUGAAUUUGCAAUUUGCAGGACAAUGGGUUGGUUCCGAUCGUCGAGCCGGAGAUCUUGCUUGACGGUGAGCACGGGAUCGACAGAACCUUUGAGGUAGCACAGAAAGUUUGGGCAGAGGUUUUCUUCUACCUUGCAGAGAACAAUGUUUUGUUUGAAGGAAUUCUUUUGAAACCAAGCAUGGUUACUCCUGGAGCUGAGAGCAAAGACAAAGCAAGCCCUCAGACAGUUGCUGAGUACACUCUUUCUCUUCUCAAAAGAAGAAUCCCUCCUGCUGUUCCUGGAAUCAUGGCAAGUCAUUACAACAUAUCUUAAACUUUGAACGCUUAUUACCCUUAGAUGAUAUAAAUUAAAUUUAUCUUCCUCUAUUAACUCAAACUUUUAGAAUAAUUGGUGAUUUAAGAUGGUAUAAAAGGAUGUCAUCUAGAAAGUCAUGCGUAUUAGUUAUUAGCUCAACGUUUUAGGUAUAACGGUGAUUUGAGAAUUAAGUUGAUGAAUUGAAUGUGGGUUGUUUUUCUGUGGUUGUUGUGGAACAGUUUUUAUCAGGUGGGCAAUCUGAGAUAGAGGCUACAUUGAACUUGAAUGCGAUGAACCAAGCACCAAACCCAUGGCAUGUGUCCUUCUCAUAUGCUAGAGCUCUCCAAAACACUUGCUUGAAGACAUGGGGUGGACUACCAGAAAAUGUGAAGAUCGCACAGGAUGCUCUGAUUCAACGAGCCAAGUCGAACUCCCUCGCCCAGCUUGGGAAGUACACCGGUGAGGGUGAGUCCGAAGAAGCCAACCAGGAUAUGUACGUCAAGGGCUACACAUACUAAGCUUUUCUAUAGAUCAAGAAGAUGAAAGAAGAAGAAGAAGAAGAUGAUGAUGGUUGAAGACUAAUUGCUAUGUUUAUUGUGUUUAUGAUGAUGAUGCUUUAUAGCAAUUUAAAAAGAACAAAAAAAAAAAAAACUAUUUUUGUGUAUUCUUAGCAGCUUAAUGAACAUUUUGGUGAUGAUUUUUAGUUUAGUUUGUCUUCUUCUCAAAUCCUAUGUAAGAUGCUUGAAUUCGCAUUAAUCAUGAGCAUAUAUAAUAAGGCUUUUCCUUCGGUCUCAAGAUUUCUUAAUUAUUUCAUAUCAAGAACAACUAACAUAUAUGGAUGGAAAAAAACUAAAAUCAUAAAAGAAAAUAAUAGAAAUUCACGGGCCAUAGAAUUUAAGUAUACUCUAUCCAUUUAGUGGGAGUAAAUUUGAUGAAGAAGCAUUCGUUUUGUAAGAGCCUCAAUUAAAACUAAAAGAACAUUUGGGUAGGAGCUAUUUAGUUGUAGGGCCAUGGACUCAUUGAACCAAACACCAAACUCAACUCUUUGAACCAAAUACCCUUGUAAGAAAUUCAAUAAAUUUUGUGAUCCAUGCAUUAAGAUAAGAAGAUUACAAACAUAUUUCUAUCAAAAGUGUAAUAUUUUAACGUGUAGAGUGAAAGAGACAAGUGCAUGGUAUGGAACCACCCAC
rnacentral:lncRNA from 1 species